rnacentral:lncRNA from 1 species
AAUACUAAGACUCCAUGAGGAAAUAAGAUGCCUGGCUAUCGUUCUUAAACAGGAGGAGAAACUAGGUGAUGAAAUAAAGGAUCUUAUUGGAGUUGUGGUCUCUGAUGUAGGAAUUUUGACCUUCUCCCUUUCUGUCAAUGAAAUCAAAGAAGGCUUGCCUGAGGAAAGAGAUCUUGGGUUGUUUCAUUUGCACAAAGUUCUCAAAUAUAUGGUGGCAGAGGUUGCACACAAUUUUCCACUAAAAUCACCAUAUUUAUCAUUUAAUUAUCCUAGACCCAAUGAGUUGGGCUGUAUGGAUUCUUUCCUAGAAAAUCUCAAGGAACUAGCAAGGUGUGAUGAGGAUGAUGAUUCAAUUGGUUUUCAACAGGAUAGAAUCCAAAUGAUCCAAAAAGAUCUCGUAUUCUUAAGAUCUUUCCUGGAAAAUAUCAAGGAGAAGCGCUAUCAGAAUGGAAAACUUCAAGCUUUCUGGAGUCAUGUUAUGGAGGCUGCAUACAAGGCAGAGUUACUGAUUGACUUGGCACUUGUUGGUGAUAAAUGUGAAGAUUCUUUGGAUGUUGUUUCUAGAGAUAUCAAUCUUUUGAAGAUUGAGGCCCCAGAGAUCCAUAAUGGUCAAACCCAAAGAGUUAACAAGACUUCCCUUCACAUACCAUCACAACUUACCAUCGCCAUGCACGACAAAGAUCUGGUAGGUCUCAAAGAUGAGGUGGAAACUAUUACUCAUCGGCUUACGAGAGGAUCAAAGCAAUUGGAUGUUGUUCCCAUUGUGGGUAUGCCAGGCCUUGGUAAGACCACAUUAGCCAAUAAAAUUUAUAAUGCUCCUUCAGUUAGGUCACAUUUCCAUGUUCGUCGUUGGUGUCGUGUUUCUCAAACAUAUAGCAUACACAGUUUGUUAGUUGAGCUUUUGUGUAGUAGUUCUUCUGAGAGUUCUGAUGAAUAUCAUAAGAUGGAUGAAAAUGAUUUGGCCAUGAAGCUAAGGCAGGUUUUGCUGAGAAGUAGGUAUCUCCUUUUUUUGGAUGACUUGUGGGACAUUGAGGCAUGGAAUUUGUUGGAAAAAUCACUGCCGAAUGAUGCCAAUGGAAGCAGGAUUCUCUUCACUAGUAGAUACCAGGAUUUAUCUUUGCAUUUCAUACCUAAUAGCGAGCCUCACCAUCUCCGCCAUCUUAAUGAUGAAGAGAGUUGGGCAUUGCUACAGAGAAAGCUAUUUGGCAUGGAAGAUUGUCCUCCAGCACUAAGUGAAGUUGGAUCUCAAAUAGCAAAACUUUGUCAGGGCUUACCCCUCACAGUUGUCCUUGUUGCUGGAAUUCUUGCUACUACUGCACAAGAUAGUUGGGAAGAAGUUGCAAAAAGUCUAAGUUCUAUUGUCCUUGAGGAUGAAUACUGCAUGAAGGCACUUGAGCUGAGUUAUAGUCAUUUACCAGAUUAUUUGAAGACAUGCCUUUUGUACUUUGCUGCAUUUAAAGAAGAUGAGGUUAUUUAUGUGCGAAGGUUGUUACGGCUUUGGAUCUCUGAAAGAUUCAUGCAACAGGCUGAAGGAAAGAGCUUAGAGGAAGCAGCUUAUGACUACUUGACGGCUCUAAUUAAUAGAAGUUUAGUUAUGGCUGUCGGACAAAGAACUGUGGGUGGUGCCAAAUAUUGUCUACUUCACGAUUUGGUACACGAGUUUUGUGUGAAAAAAGCCAAAGAAGAAAGUUUUCUAUAUGCUAUUCAUAGUUGGAACCCUCUUUGUCUUACUGGAUCAAGCAACCCCCACCGAGUUUGUGUCCGCAAUACCAGAGAAUUGAAGAUUUGGGAGUUAACGCUUAUUUUUCCCAAUUUACGCUCUUUGAUCUUGUUUGGACAAGAUUAUUUUAAACAUGAAGAGGAGGAUUUGGGUAUUUUGUUACCUAAACUUCUCAGAGUGUUGGAUUUCGGGAAGUUGGGCUUUGAUUAUUCUUUUCCAAUGGAAGUAGUGUUGCUUGUACACUUGAGAUAUCUGGCGCUCAAAGGAGUAACAUACAUCCCACCUGCGAUAGCCAAUCUCUCAAGGUUAGAAACUCUCAUCGUAGAAGAUCCGUGUCUUGGUAUUGAGCUGCCAAGUACUAUUUGGAACAUUAAGACAUUGAGUCAUCUACGUGUUUUAAAUUAUGAUGGAGUAUGGCCAAUGGGUUUUAUUUUUCCACUUGGAAAUCUUGAAGGAUCCCUAGAUUUAGAUCAUUUAGACACUUUAGACCUUGCAAUUGAUCCCUCCCCUCAAAGCUUGCAAAAGAUACUGAGAAAGUUACCAAGCAUUCGCAGGAUAAAAUGUAUGGAACGACCAAGAGAAGCUACCAGAAAUUGCAACGAGAUUCUUGAGUUUGACGGUUUGAGUCAACUAGAAUCACUUCAUUUGUUUGGUUUUUGUGGAUGUGGAUUUAAAUUCCCGUUGAAUUUGAAAAAGUUGGCUCUCUCAAAUAAUGGUCUGCCAUGGAGUGAAAUUUCAACAAUUGGAAAGUUGCCCAAUCUUGAAGUGCUUAAAUUAAUUGAGGAUUGCUUUGUUGGGGAAGAAUGGGUAAUGAAAGAAGGGGAGUUCCCUAAACUCCGAGUCUUAAAAUUGUUAGGGUUGGAAUUUCGCAACUGGACUGCAUUUUCUGAUAAUUUUUCCCGCCUUGAGAAAUUGGUCUUGUGCUCGUGUGAGGAGCUGGAAAAGGUCCCUUCUUGUUUGGGGGAGUGUGAGACUCUUGAAAUGAUUGAGGUGGAAGGGUGUCAUGCGUCUGUUAUAGAUUCUGUAAAGGAAAUUCAACAAGAACAGAUGGAUAUGGGCAAUGUGGAUCUAAUGAUCAAAAUUUCUAUAUUCAUUUCCUCAGAAGAAGAUGUUGGAUCCUUAAUCCAACAUUGGACUUAUAUGUGAAUAAUUAUGUAUUGCAAACUGUCAAUUAAGGUUUAACCCAAUUAAAGUGAUCAAAUAUAGUUUGGGUUUAAUGUAUCUAAUAGGAUAUGGGCCCUUUAAUGUGUAGAAACUUAUGGGCUCCUAUUUCAAUGAUGGGCUGAAAUAGGGCUCCAAAAGGUAACAGGAAUGUUACCUAUAAAUAGGGUUAUGGUCCCCAGGUCACAGGUAUCGUUUUAGUUGUAGUAUUUCCUAAUACCACAAAAUAUUUCUUCCCUGAUAUCCUAUCGUCAGGAAAGAUACCAGAGAGAAACUAAAGGCCUCUCUCAAAGGAUUGGUGAAUACCUGUUGACCUGGAAGGCCACCCCAAAUCCCAAGGGAUUCAAGUGUCGAAUUUAUCAAUAUGGAUUCAGGUACGCUUCCGCUAUUUUACAGUUAAUAUAUUUCUUAAUAAUCACCAUACAGAUCUUGGGUUUAAAGGUGAUGGUUUUCACCAGUGGUUAAAUUUAGAUAACCACCCUAACAAGUGGUAUCAGAGCCCAUAUGGUUGAUUAUUAGGAAAUAAUUUGGAUUUAGUUAUUUAUAGUAAAUUUGUACGGCUGAUUUAGUGAUUUGCAGCCUUGGUUGCUGAUGGUUGAUAAUUGGAUCCCUUUUUGAUAGGAUAUAAUUUGUUAGUAAUUUUAUUAUUAACUUCCCCUUUUAUCUCUGAUAAAUAUUGUGUUAAUUGCUGAUAAUUACUCAUAUUUGGUAUCUGGACUUAAUUGCAAGAAUGAAGCAGAAAACUACCAAAAAGGAGGGACUUUAUGGAGAAUAUGGCGACUUCCAAGGGCUUCAAUCCUUGGGCCCUUGGAUUGGUGGGGACCACAAAGCUAUAAGUCAUUUGGGCUUCAAAGAAAGCUACAGAAAGAGACUUGGAACAAGAAGUACUUGGAAGGCUUGGUCCACAUGUGUGGGGACCACCUAGAUAGCCUUUAAUCAUCUUUCUCUUGUUGCUUAAAGAGGGAUAACGUAGAGUAGCAGAGGAUCUGGAGUUUUUUCCGUCUUUUAGUUUAGUUUUAGUUUUGCUUUCUCCUGACUGGCCUCUGACACACGCCAGGUGUUCGACAAUAUUCCCCAACGGGAAAAACACCUUUUAUUCCUUGUUUCUUAAUAGAAAACGCAAUGCCUUUGCAAUCUAUUAAUUCGUGUGGUAAUUUAAUUAUGCGGCGUGGCUAAGUCUUCUAUCUAGUCAAGGGUCAACUCAACGGUGCAGUCCCGAAAAUCUGUGAGAUCUAACUAGUUUUCACGCGUUCCUUUAUCUAUUAAUAUUUGCAUGUUGCCUGAUUUAAUUUUCAUGGGAUUAUUUUAUUGAUUGGAUGUCAAGGGCCCGAUGUUCAAUGUGAUUUAUUAAUCUCGUGCCAAUUUAGUCAAUUAAAUCCGUAAUUGUUUGAUUGAUUAAUAUUAGUGGCAGCUGGUGUGUUUACACAUUAGGGGAACGUGCAAUCUAAUUUAAAUAACCCUCGUAGCGUGUUAUUGGUUAGGGCUAGGUUUUUCUGGUUAUUAAUGCAAUUGGAAAAUUAAUUCCUACGGUCGUACCUAGGAGUACUUUUCUGGUUAGGGAUGAUUAAUGGUCGUACCUUGGUCACCUAUAAAUUAAGGAAAAAUUGAUCAUUAGAGUUCAUCAAUGGCUAUAACUAGCCUGUUUAUAGAUUAAGUGAACCUCUCUUGCAUCAAUGAUCGGAUAAAUGGACUGUGCCUGAGUAGUUGUAACCUUGGCUAGAAUUUAUUUAUUCCUGAUUAAAUUCCUGCUAUAUUCGUGCUAGUUAUUUAUUCAUUUUUAGUUAAAUUGUUUAAUUGUUUUUAGUUUUAUUCCAGUGAAAUCCCCCCUUGUCAAUUGAACUUUAAAAGAGACAGUUAUCUCCAGUCCCUGAGGAGACGACCCUACUUGCCACUGUCUACUAUUUAGUAGUUUUUGUCAACUAAUUAAUUCUGGUAUAUCGGGUUAAGCAAACUCUUCGGGAACAGGGUGAAUCAAGUAACCCAUUGCACACCUAGAGUCCCUGCUCCAGUACCUAGGAUUAAUUAUUGACUGCUUUUAGUGGUAGUUAGGUUCUAUAUUUAUAUUUAUUAUUGCACAGGCUGACGACCUGUCAAUUUUUGUCGCCGUUGCCGGGGACUGGCGUUAUUAUUUGUUUCUUUUUAAAUUUCAUUUUUGCUCUAAUUUUCUGGUAUUUUUCUAGUGUAUGCCUAGGUCUUCUCGUACAGGUGAAUUGAUUUUUGACCCUGAAGUAGAGAAAACCGCGCGUAGAACAAGAAAAAAAACCAGACAGCUCAGAGAGGAGCACUCUAGUGCUACGUCUCAGAGACCUGAGCCCGAAGUUGAACCAGCAGAUUCGUUUGGUGACGCUUCAAGUGAUUCUCACCAAGAGGACGUCGACAUGGCAAACACACAAACAUUAAGGGAGUUGGGUGCUCCAAACUUGACCCAACAACCUCUUUGCAUAACUUUUCCUCGCCUUAGUGAGAAUGCAGCUUUUGAAUUAAAACCUGGUUUAAUACAUUUGUUGCCUGUUUUUCAUGGUCUGCCAGGAGAGGAACCCCACAAACACAUGCAGGAAUUUGACGUGGUAUGUUCGAGUAUGAAGCCUUCGGGAGUAACCGAUGAACAAAUUAAAUUAAGGGCCUUCCCUAUUUCUCUCAAGGAUUCGGCAAAGGACUGGUUAUACUGUCUACCUGCAGGCAUUAUCACCACGUGGCCAGAGAUGCAGAAAAAAUUUUUUGAAAAAUAUUUCCCUGCAUCUAGAGCUGCUAGUUUGCGAAAGGAAAUAUGUGGCAUCAAGCAAUUUCAGGGAGAAUCCUUGUAUGAAUAUUAGGAGAGGUUCGCCAGGCUGCGUACCCGAUGCCCUCAUCACCAAAUAAGUGAUCAACUGCUGAUUCAGUACUUCUAUGAGGGGCUACUGAUGAACGAUAGAAAUAUUAUUGAUGCAGCAAGUAGUGGUGCACUGGUGAAUAAGACUACCCAGGAAGCAUGGGACUUAAUCGAGCGAAUGGCAGAGAAUUGCCAGCAGUUUGGUACGAGAGCAGAUGUCCCUACGAGAAAGGUCAACGAGGUAAGUUCAUCUUCCAUUCAACAGCAGUUAUCUGAAUUGACCUCAUUUGUUCGACAGAUAGCUGUAGGAAAUGCACAGCAGGCCAAAGUGUGUGGGAUUUGUACGAAUAUUGGUCAUACCGCUUACUCAUGCCCACAGUUACAAGAGGAGGGGACUGAGCAAGCAAACAUGGCUGGUAACAUGCCCAUGCCACGUAGACAGUAUGAUCCAUAUUCCAACUCAUAUAACCCGGGUUGGAGGGAUCAUCCAAAUCUGAGCUAUGGGGGAAAUAAGCAACAAAAUUUCAUCCCAAAUAGACAGCAGGGCUUCCAGCAACAAUAUCAGACAAGGAAUCAACCUUCCUCUACCUCAGGUAUGUCCCUAGAGGACAUGGUUAAAACCAUAGCCUCUAAUACUAUGAAAUUUCAGCAGGACACUGAGGCCAACAAUCAAGAGAUGAAAGCGCGUAUGCAGAACUUGGAAAAUCAGAUGAGUCAAUUAGCCUCAAUUGUCAAUCGACUGGACGGCCAGGGAAAAGGAAAACUUCCAUCCCAACCCGAGGUGAAUCCCAAGAAUGUAAGUGCUAUGACCCUCAGGAGUGGGAAAGAGGUUGAAGGACUAGCACCAGUGGCUCCGAAGGAUAAGAAUGAGGACCGCAUUGAGAAGGAGCUUGAAGAAGAAGGAACUCCCGGUACAAAUAAAGAGGUAAUACGUAACCCAGUGGUUCCAGUUAAGCCUAACCCACCACCUUUUUUUAGCAGGUUGGAAAGGCCUAAAAAGCAAGACAAGGAAAAGGAAAUUUUGGAGAUGUUUAGGAAGGUGGAGAUAAAUAUCCCCUUACUUGACGCAAUUAAGCAAGUACCCCGGUAUGCCAAAUUUUUGAAGGACCUAUGCAUCAAUAGGAAGAAAUUGAGGGGAGAUGAAAGGAUAAUUGUGGGAGAGAACGUAUCCGCAGUGCUUCAACGAAAACUUCCACCCAAGUGCGGAGACCCAGGUAUGUUCACUAUCUCUUGUAAAAUAGGAAACACUAGCAUUAGGAAUGCCAUGUUAGAUUUAGGGGCCUCUAUAAAUGUGAUGCCCAAGGCUAUUUAUGCUUCUCUAAAUUUGGGUCCCUUAAAGGAAACUGGCAUUAUAAUUCAAUUGGCUGAUAGGACUAAUGCUUAUCCUGAUGGGGUGAUAGAAGAUGUGUUAGUACAAGUAAACAAUUUAGUGUUUCCUGCUGAUUUUUAUAUUCUUGAUAUGGGUGAUGAACGUUUUUCAAAUCCAUCACCAAUUUUGUUGGGGAGGCCCUUCUUGAGCACGGUUCAUACAAAAAUUGAUGUUAGUGAGGGCACCCUAACGAUGGAAUUUGAUGGAGAAAUAGUUCAUUUCAAUAUAUUUGAGGCCAUGAAAUAUCCGUGUCAUUCUAAUGUUGUUUUUGCUGUGAGUGUAAUUGACCCUUUGGUGCAAGAAGUAUUUGAGAUUAAUGGCAGGGAUGAAUUGGAGGUAGCAAUUACCAAACAUUUGAAUCUGGAAGUAACCUGUGAAAUGGAGUUAGGCAUUAGUUUGCAAAGAAUGGUUGCAGCCUUGCAUUCACUAGGCCAAAGUCCUCUAAGGUAUGAUGUUGCUCCGAUAUUUGUGCCUGAACCACACCUAAAGCUAUUACCUUCUAUCGUGCAGGCACCUGAAGUGGAGUUGAAACCCCUGUCCGAGCAUUUAAAGUAUGCCUUUCUAGGUGAAAAAGAGACGUUACCAGUGAUAAUCUCAUCCAAAUUAUCACCCACGGAGGAGGAUAAGCUACUACGGGUUUUAAGGGAGCAUAAGGAAGCUAUAGGGUGGUCAAUUGCAGAUAUCAAAGAUAUAAGCCCGUCCGUGUGCAUGCAUCGAAUUCGCCUGGAAGAGGAUGUUAGGCCGAUAAGACAACCACAAAGGAGAUUGAACCCCAUCAUGAUGGAAGUGGUCAAGAAAGAGGUAAUCAAGCUUCUGGACGUAGGAAUUAUUUUCUCUAUCUCAGAUAGCCCAUGGGUGAGUCCGGUCCAAGUGGUGCCAAAGAAAGCAGGGGCAACUGCGGAAGAAAAUCAUGAAGGGGACCUUGUUCCAAUUCGGAAGCCUACGGGUUGGCGCCAGUGCAUCGAUUACCGUAAAUUGAAUGCAGUGACCAAGAAGGAUCAUUUUCCCCUUCCAUUCAUCGAUCAAAUGGUUGAAAGGUUAGCUUGUCGUGCCUAUUAUUGCUUCUUAGAUGGUUUCUCUGGUUAUUUUCAGAUAGCACUUGCGCUAGAGGAUCAAGAGAAAACAACUUUCACUUGCCCCUUUGGCACUUUUGCCUAUCGAAUGAUGCCCUUUGGAUUGUGCAAUGCCCCUGCAACAUUCCAGAGGUGCAUGAUUAGCAUUUUUUCUGAGUAUGUAGAGAGAAUAAUUGAGGUAUUCAUGGAUGACUUCAGUGUCUAUGGUGAUAGUUUUGACGAUUGCUUAGAUAACUUGACAUUGAUUUUGAAAAGAUGCAUCGAGACUAACCUAGUGCUCAAUUGGGAAAAAUGUCACUUCAUGGUUGAGCACGGGAUAGUUCUAGGACAUGUAGUGUCAUCUAGAGGAAUUGAAGUUGAUAAAGCUAAAAUAGAUGUGAUAUCUGCUUUACCUUAUCCCGUAACUGUUCGGGAGGUUCGUUCUUUUCUAGGACAGGCAGGCUUCUAUCGCAGAUUUAUCAAGAAUUUCUCAAAGAUCGGGGCACCACUUUUCAGGCUUUUGCAAAAGGAUGUCAGUUUUGAAUUCAAUGAGGAGUGCAAAGAAGCGUUUGAGAAGUAAAAAAUUUACUCACUUCCCCACCUGUCAUCCAACCCCCUGACUGGAAUCUCCCGUUUGAAAUUAUGUGUGAUGCCAGUGACCACUCCGUGGGAGCAGUUUUGGGGCAAAGGGUGGAGAAAGCGGCGCACGCAAUAUAUUAUGCCUCUAGAGCUUUAAAUGGCGCCCAACUCAAUUACUCUACUACGGAAAAAGAAUUCUUAGCUGUUAUUUUUGCUUUAGAAAAGUUUAGACCUUAUCUGUUAGGUGCUAAAGUAAUUGUGUAUUCUGACCAUGCAGCUUUGAGGUACCCGCUGACCAAAAAGGAUGCUAAACCCCGCUUGAUAAGAUGGAUAUUGCUCAUGCAGGAAUUUGACUUAGAAAUCAGAGAUAAAAAAGGAGCGGAGAAUCUAGUAACUGACCACCUAAGCCGAAUACUGGUAGCGGAGGAAGAAUUACAAUUAAGGGAGUCUUUUCCUGAAGAGCAUUUACUUUCUAUUAAUUCAUCCCCUCCUUGGUUUGCAGAUAUUGUGAAUUAUUUGGUUACUGACAAAUUGCCCGCAGGUUGGCCCAAGGCAAAAAGGGACAAACUAAAAAGCGAUGCAAAGUACUAUGUCUGGGAUGACCCUAUCUGUGGAAACAAGGUGCUGACCAAAUAAUGAGGCGAUGUGUAAGUGAAAGUGAAUUCCAAUCUAUAUUGACUUUCUGUCACUCUUUUGCAUGUGGGGGUCAUUUUGGUCCUAAACGGACUGCUAGAAAAGUGUUGGAAAGUGGAUUUUAUUGGCCUACCUUAUUUAAGGAUGCUUACUUGUUUUGUAAGACAUGUGAUAAGUGUCAAAGGGUAGGCAAUUUAUCCCGAAGGGAUCAACUGCCACAGGUGCCCAUGCUUUUCAUUGAAAUUUUUGAUACUUGGGGUAUAGAUUUCAUGGGUCCCUUUCCAAACUCUUGUGGAUUUUUAUACAUUUUACUAGCAGUGGAUUAUGUCUCGAAGUGGGUGGAAGCAAAAGCCACCCGCACUAAUGAUUCUAAGGUGGUUGCAGAUUUCAUAAAGUCUAACAUUUUUGUGCGAUUUGGAAUGCCACGGGCAGUUGUGAGUGAUAGGGGGACGCAUUUUUGCAACAAGACAAUUGCUACUCUGUUCAGGAGAUAUGGUGUACUUCAUAAGGUUUCCACUUCUUACCAUCCAUAGACCAAUGGCCAGGCUGAAGUCUCGAAUAGGGAAAUAAAGUCUAUUUUGGAAAAGAUGGUCCACCCUGCUAGGAAGGACUAGAGCUCUAGGUUGGAAGAUGCUUUGUGGGCAUAUAGGACCGCCUACAAGACGCCUAUAGGGAUGUCUCCCUAUAGGUUGGUAUUUGGUAAGCCUUGCCAUCUUCCAGUGGAAUUCGAGCAUAGAGCAUUUUGGGCGGUAAAACAAUGCAAUAUGGAUAUUGAGGAGAGCGGAAUUCAAAGGAAGUUACAGUUACAGGAGUUGGAGGAGAUUCGCAAUGAAGCUUAUGAGAAUGCGGUAAUUUAUAAGGAGAGGAAUAAGAUUUUUCAUGACCAACAGAUCUCAAGGAAAACAUUCGAGUGUGGGCAAAAAGUUCUACUGUACCACUCCAAAUUGAAGUUAUUUCCAAGUAAAUUACGUUCUCGUUGGAUUGGUCCUUUUGUUGUGACUAAUGUCUUUCAUUAUGGUGCAGUAGAGAUCCAAAGCUUGAAAACUGAGAAGAAAUUUGUAGUGAAUGGUCAUCGUCUCAAACCGUAUUAUGAAGGGGUUCUAACUGAACGGGUGGAGCUGAUGCACUUGGAGGACCCUACUUGCUUAGUUUAAGCAAAGUUGUGGACAUCGUCUAGCCAAAGACGUUAAAGAAAGGCGCUCUUGGGAGGCAAUCCAGUUGUUAAUUUUGUUGUUUUAGUGCUUAAUUAUUUAAUUAUGUCGUUUCUCACAUGGGUAUUAGUCACUUUCGAUGUUUUCUAACUCUGAUCAGGAUAGGUAAACAUGGCGUGCCCUCAAACGACAUCAGAAACGCGACUCAAAGUCCUCAAUCGCGUUUUCAUUCCUGCGAGUUUUGUGAAUGAAACGCGACUCAGAAAACGCGAGUAGAAGGAGCGUUUUCAAUCGCAUUUUCACUACUGCGAGUUUUGUGAAUGAAACGCGACUCAGAAAACGCGAGUUGAAGGCGCGUUUUCAAUCGCGUUUUCACUACUGCGAGUUUUGUGAAGAAAACGCGACUCAGAAAACGCGAGUUGAAGGCGCGUUUUCAAUCGCGUUUUCUGUGUCCCAAUAAAGGCAUCAGAAACGCGAUUUCAGCUUCAUUUCUUCCUCUCCUCUUAAUUUUUCAGGCUGGUUUUGAGAAUUGUUAUUGCUUGGAAUUUCCGCGUGACCCAGCUUGGCUUCAACUUGCAUGGCAUGGCGCAGAAUUUGGCAGCAUUUAUGCACCUUGUGGGAAGUAAGCCUCAAUUCGCGCCUGAUCUACCCCUUGGUUGUUUGACGACUUCAGGGAAGUACUGUGCCCCUCCCCUUUUUCUGCUAUUAUCUUUUCACAUUGAGGGCAAUGCGUCAUUUUAGGUGUGGGGGGGUCAAUUUGGGUGCAAGUUCUCGUUUCUUUAUUAUUUUUCCUCUUGUUUUCUGUUUAGGUGUUGCUCCUUUAUCCCUUUUGAGUGGCCUUCCCUUGCUUCUAUCUUGGUGAACAUUUUUGGCAGCUCACUUUUUCUUGUUAGUUGUGGUUUGUACUAUGAGUUGAGUUACAGUGGCAAGUAAAAGCAUGCUUUCUUGGUGAAUACUUUGAGUUUAACGAUGUGGUGCAAUUUAUGGCUAACUUGUUUAGGCAAUAUAAAUAUUUUGCUGGCACUGUUGGGUAGUUUGGUCUCCUGUUUACCUUAGUUCUCCAUAUUUAGGACAUGACGCAGGUUAUGAUCUGUAAUUGUUUGGUAUCUUGGUGUUUUAUGGUGAAUAACGUAUGGCUAUACUCCGCUAGUGGCGCCACCUAGUAACCGGGAGCCUUCACCACAAGUGUCGGCUCUCGCGUCAAAAAGUGGCGAUAUCUAUGAGUAAGUGGUCCUGGAGCUGUGAAAAGUUGAGUAAUUGGGGUCUUUCAUCUAAAAAUGUCAGAGUUCACAUCAAAAGACUUAAAUAGCUCGGGACUAAGCAAUCUAUCUAAAAAAAAAAAGAAGAAAAAAGGAGAGAAGAAAAAAGAAAAUCAGAUGUGGAGAAUAUGUGAGUUCAUGAUCAUGUUAGCCUGCCGAUCCUUGGUUCGUAUUGUUGAGAUUUUGGUUGCCAGUUGACUUAAUUAUUGACUGUUGCUAGUUAGUAUUUGGAUUUCCGAAGAGAGUUAGCCAUGAAUUGGACAGGUCUAUGAACUUAGGAGCUAACCGGGAGAGACAUGUCUUGACACUUAGUUACUAGAUCUUGAUUUUGGGUAUAAGCACAGCUGGCUAUGAUAAUGUGAAAGCUAGCUAUUGUUGAGUCGAAUUUUUCCCAUGCUUGAGGGCAAGCAUGAUUCAGGUGUGGGGGGAAUUGAUAGGAUAUAAUUUGUUAGUAAUUUUAUUAUUAACUUCCCCUUUUAUCCCUGAUAAAUAUUGUGUUAAUUGCUGAUAAUUACUCAUAUUUGGUAUCUGGACUUAAUUGCAGGAAUGAAGCAGAAAACUACCAAAAAGGAGGGACUUUAUGGAGAAUAUGGCGACUUCCAAGGGCUUCAAUCCUUGGGCCCUUGGAUUGGUGGGGACCACAAAGCUAUAAGUCAUUUGGGUUUCAAAGAAAGCUACGGAAAGAGACUUGGAACAAGAAGUACUUGGAAGGCUUGGUCCACAUGUGUGGGAACCACCUAGAUAGCCUUUAGUCAUCUUUCUCUUGUUGCUUAAAGAGGGAUAACGUAGAGUAGCAGAGGAUCUGGAGUUUUUUCCGUCUUUUAGUUUAGUUUUAGUUUUGUUUUCUCCUGACUGGCCUCUGACACACGCCAGGUGUUCGACAAUAUUCCCCAACGGGAAAAACACCUUUUAUUCCUUGCUUCUUAAUAGAAAACGCAAUGCCUUUGCAAUCUAUUAAUUCGUGUGGUGAUUUAAUUAUGCGGCGUGGUUAAGUCUUCCAUCUAGUCAAGGGUCAACUCAACGGUGCAGUCCCGAAAAUCUGUGAGAUCUAACUAGUUUUCACGCGUUCCUUUAUCUAUUAAUAUUUGCAUGUUGUCUGAUUUAAUUUUCAUGGAAUUAUUUUAUUAAUUGGAUGUCAAGGGCCCGAUGUUCAAUGUGAUUUAUUAAUCUCGUGCCAAUUUAGUCAAUUAAAUUCGUAAUUGUUUGAUUGAUUAAUAUUAAUGGCAACUGGUGUGUUUACACAUUAGGGGAACGUGCAAUCUAAUUUAAAUAACCCUCGUAGCGUGUUAUUGGUUAGGGUUAGGUUUUUCUGGUUAUUAAUACAAUUGAAAAAUUAAUUCCUACGGUCGUACCUAGGAGUACUUUUCUGGUUAGGGAUGAUUAAUGGUCGUACCUUGGUCACCUAUAAAUUAAGGAAAAAUUGGUCAUUAGAGUUCAUCAAUGGCUAUAACUAGCCUGUUUAUAGAUUAAGUGAACCUCUCUUGCAUCAAUGAUCGGAUAAAUGGACUGUGCCUGAGUAGUUGUAACCUUGGCUAGAAUUUAUUUAUUCCUGAUUAAAUUCUUGCUAUAUUCGUGUUAGUUAUUUAUUCAUUUUUAGUUAAAUUGUUUAAUUGUUUUUAGUUUCAUUCCAGUGAAAUUCCCCCUUGUCAAUUGAACUUUAAAAGAGACAGUUAUCUCCAGUCCCUGAGAAGACGACCCUACUUGCCACUGUCUACUAUUUAGUAGUUUUUGUCAACUAAUUAAUUCUGAUAUAUCGGGUUAAGCAAACUCUUCGGGAACAGGGUGAAUCAAGUAACCCAUUGCACACCUAGAGUCCCUGCUCCAGUAUCUAAGAUUAAUUAUUGACUGCUUUUAGUGGUAGUUAGGUUCUAUAUUUAUAUUUAUUAUUGCACAGGCUGACGACAUGUCAAUUUUAUAAUUGCCAACGGCUGAUUGAGAACCCACGCAUGCUUUUGGUUUUUCGGCCUCUGAUUCAUUAAAAAAAAAAAAAAAGGGAAUCCGUGGGUUCUGCUCCUAUGUUGGAUGAGUCUUCAUACGGUUUUUUAUGUUCAUGAGUGCUUGCGUAAUCAAUAGGCAUGAACUGCUAGUCUGAUGCAAUUUAUGUGCUUGUGUCUUCAGUCAAAUUCAUGGUCAGAACUGUGAUGCUUUUGGCCUUCGGUCAAAUUCUUCCAAUAAUCUCAAUGCUUUUGAGACAUAAGUCUUCGUACGAUUGUUUGAAAUUGUUUACUUAAAACAUGAAUCAAGUGAUGAUGUAAGCUAAUUUGUCUUCUGGCCACGGGAAGUCCUUUGUCCUUUCCUCCACCAUUAUGGACAAGUUAAUUUUAUUUCAUGUUAACAAUUUUUAGUUCACAGUUGUUGUCCCGUACUUUGACUUUUGAGUUUUGAAGAUUAUAUUAACAAUUCAUGCCUGAUUCUUGGCUAAUGGGAUAAGUAUUGUUCGGACUUAUUCUGAGCAAAUUUGUUGAAAUAUAUAUAUGUGGCUAUAUUUGGACUUUGGUUGUUAUUUUUUGUUUUGUUUGGCUUGAUUCCUUGUUUAAGAAUAGAUUUCCAUAUAUAUAUUUAUGUUAAGUAAAUUAGGGUUUCUUUAAUUAAAGUGAACCUUAAUAAAGUUAAAUAGGACAUUUAAACCCUAUAAAAUCCAUAUGUGUGAUCCAUUAAAUAUGUAGUUUUUUUUUUAUAAAGUACUUAUGGAUUUCAAGAAAAAUUUGGGCUUGAAUGUUAAUUUUGGGUCAAAUUAUGGAUAUGGACCUUUGGUCCAAUAGGUCAUGAUUUAAUUUGAUUGAUUUGACCAUGUUUGACCACGUUUUGACCAAAGUUGACUUUGAUCAAAAUUUUUAUUUAAUUUGGAUAAUUUUAAAUUUGAAUAUUGGUAUGAUUAUAUAUAUUUUUUGGAAUAAAUUAAUUGAAAUAAUAUGUCACCAAAGUGACCUCUAUUAUGGAAAUUAAUUUAUUUUAAAAUAUAAAUAGUUGGGUACUUGUAAUUUUAUGAAUAUUGAUCGGCCCAAAGGAAGGUCAAUAUUUAAUGAAAUUACAUGUGCACUUGUGGUAAUAAAUACGUGAUAAUUAUUUGGAUUUUACAUGUGAUUUAUAAAUUGGCCCAAAGGAAAAUUUAUUUUUCGACAUGUUAUUAUUAUCAGUAUUUGUUACUACAUCAAGAUAUCACUUAGAAAUUAAUAUUUUUGUCCAAAGACAAAAUAUUAAUGGAAUAUCGAUAUCUUGAGAUGGGGUUACCUUUAUUUAAAUUUAUUAUUGUUUUGGUUUAUGUGAGCUUGUUUUAAUUAUUUUAUGUUUUCUGUUCAGUUGCGAAUGAUCUUACAAAUAUUACUUCCAACAUCAAUAAUAUUCCUAUGCUGAAUGGCACAAAUUUCAAGUCCUGAAAAGAAAAUCUCUUGAUAGUACUUGGAGUAAUGAAUCUCGACCUUGCGUUAAGGGAUGAUUCCCCCCUACCUCUUACAGAUCAAAGUACCUUUGAUGAAAAGAGAAAUAAUGAGAGGUGGGAGAGAUCAAAUCGCUUGUGUCUGAUGAUCAUUAAAAAGGCCGUUCCAGAAGCAUUCAAGGGAACAAUGUCAGAAACGACUGUAACCGCUAAAGAGUUCUUUCAGGACAUUGAAAAAAGGUUUGUCAAGAACGAAAAGGCUGAAGUUAGUACGCUCUUGACACGCCUAGUUUCAAUGAAAUAUAGUGGUAAAGGCAAUAUCAGAGAGUAUAUCAUGGAGAUGUCUCAUCUUGCUUCGAAAUUAAAUGCACUUAAGUUGAAACUCUCUGAAGAGUUACUAGUGCAUUUGAUUUUAAUAUCUCUACCUACACAGUUUAGUCAGUUUAAGGUGAGUUACAACUGUCAAAAGGAGAUUUGGUCUCUAAAUGAACUCAUCUCACACUGUGUAGAGGAAGAGAAAAGGUUGAAGCAAGAGCAGACAGAAAGUGCCCAUCUGGUGUCAACCACUAAUAACAAAAGUAAGGGACUUAAAAGAAAGAAGGAAAAAGAAGCUGCAGGUACAGCGCCACAAAAGAAACAACAAAAGAAAUCAAAUGAUCAGGGAAAGAAUAGUUGUUUCUUCUGUGGAGCUGAAAGGCAUCAAAAGAAGCAUUGCACCAACUAUCACGCUUGGCGUGCUAAGAAAGGUAUGCUUCUUAAUUUGGUUUGUUCUGAGGUUAAUUUAACUUCGGUACCUAGACACACAUGGUGGUUAGAUUCUGGUGCAACAACUCACAUCAGUGUGUCUAUGCAGGGUUGCCUGAAUUGCCGAAAGUCUAAUGAUAAUGAAAGAUAUAUCUACGUGGGCGAUGGCAAAACAGUUCAAGUUGAGGCAAUUGGAGUUUUUAGAUUAUUGUUAAAGACCGGAUUUUAUUUGGAUCUCUAUGAGACAUUUGUUGUACCGUCUUUUUCGAAAUUUAAUUUCUAUUUCUGCUUUGGACAAAUUUGGUUAUUUUUGUUCAUUUGAAAAUGAAAAAUUUGAAUUGUUUCAUGAUUCAAAAUUGGUUGGCUCUGGUUCUUUAAUGCACUACGAUAAUUUAUAUUUAAUUGACACAAUUGCCUCAUUUAAUGAAUCUCUGCAUUUGAGUACUAGAGGAGUUAAAAGAAAAUUAGCCAAUGAGAAUUCAGCUGCAUUAUGGCACAAGAGAUUGGGACAUAUCUCAAAACGGAGAAUGGAAAGGCUUGUGUCAAAUGAAAUUCUCGACCCCUUGAGUUUUACAGAUUUUAAUGAUUGUAUUAACUGUAUAAAGGGGAAACAAACCAAUGAAAGGAGAUUUGAAGCCAAUAGGGCUUUAGACGUCUUAGAACUUAUACAUACAGAUAUUUGUGGACCAUUUCCUACAUCUGCUUGGAAUGGUCAACAAUAUUUUAUAACGUUCAUAGACGAUUUUUCAAGAUAUGGCUACAUAUAUCUCAUUUCUGAAAAAUCACAGUCACUGGACGUAUUCAAAAGUUUUAAGGCUGAAGUUGAGAAUCAACUCAACAAAAGAAUUAAAAGCGUCAGAUCUGACCGUGGUGGUGAGUACUAUGGCAGAUAUGACGGUUCAGGUGAACAACGUCCAGGACCAUUUGCUAAAUACCUAGAGGAAUGCGGUAUCGUCCCACAGUACACUAUGCCGGGUUCACCCACUAUGAAUGGUGUAGCUGAAAGACGAAAUAGAACGCUUAAAAACAUGGUAAGGAGUAUGAUAUGUCAUUCUACUUUACCAGAAUCACUCUGGGGUGAAGCACUUAAGACUGCAGCAUAUAUCCUUAAUAGGGUUCCAACUAAAGCAACUAUCAAAACCCCUUAUGAGCUUUGGACAGGAAAAAAACCCAGUUUAAAGCAUCUGCAUGUUUGGGGGUGUCCAGCUGAGGCAAGACCUUACAGGCCAAAUGAAAAGAAACUGGACUCAAGAACGAUUAGUUGUUAUUUUAUUGGAUACUCUGAAAGAUCCAGAGGUUACAAGUUUUAUGAUCCCACAACUAAGUCAAUUUUUGAGACAGGAAAUGCUCGGUUCUUUGAGGAUGUCGAGUUUGGGGGAGUAAAAACAGUAAGGGACAUUGUCUUUAAAGAGGAAUAUAUUAAUAUUCCCACAGGUGUCAUUGCUCUUGCUCAGGACCCUAUCCCUGAACUUGAUCAUGACAUGACAAAUCAAGACAAUGUCGAAGAGCAAACUGUUAUAGAAGAACAAACUCUUCCUCUUCAAGAACCAGUGCCAUUAAGAAGAUCCACUAGAGAAAGAAGAAGUGCAGUGCCAAAUGAUUACAUUGUUUUUCUCCAAGAACAUGAGGAUGACUCUAGAUUGAUGGAAGAUGAUCCAAUCAACUUCCGUCAAGCCAUGGAAAGUUCAAAUUCUCAAAAGUGGAUCGAUGCUAUGAAUGAGGAGAUUAAAUCCAUGAAGGACAAUGAUGUUUGGGAUCUUGUCCCAUUACCCGAAGGUGCGAAAUCCAUUGGUUGUAAAUGAAUAUUUAAAAUCAAAAGGGAUUCGAAAGGCAAUGUGGAAAGAUUCAAAACUCGUCUUGUCGCUAAGGGAUUUACACAAAAAGAAGGUAUCGAUUAUAAAGAAACCUUCUCUCCAGUCUCUUCAAAGGAUUCUUUUAGAAUUAUCAUGGCAUUAGUGGCACAUUUCAAUCUUGAGUUACAUCAGAUGGAUGUAAAGACAGCGUUCCUCAAUGGUAACAUUGAUGAGACAAUUUAUAUGAUGCAACCAGAAAACUUUGUAUCAGGAGAUCCAAAGAAUAUGGUUUGCAAAAUUAAAAAAUCCAUCUAUGGGCUCAAACAAGCAUCUCGACAAUGGUAUUUCAAAUUCCAUCAAGUAAUCAUCUCAUUUGGUUUUGAGAUGAAUUUAGUGGAUGAUUGUAUAUACCAUAAGUUCUGUGGGAGCAAGUAUAUUUUUCUGGUAUUGUAUGUUGAUGAUAUUUUGCUUGCCAGCAAUGAUAUUGGUCUAUUGCAUGAAACCAAGAAAUUUCUAACCAAAAAUUUUGAGAUGAAAGAUCUUGGUGAUACAUCUUUUGUGUUAGGUAUCCAAAUACACCGGGAUCGAUCUCGGGGAAUUUUAGGACUAUCACAAAAGGACUAUAUCGAAAAGGUUCUUAAGAGAUAUGGCAUGCAAAAUUGUAAAUCAAGUGACACCCCUGUGGCUAAAGGAGACAAAUUUAGUCUUGAACAGUGUCCCAAGAAUGCUUUUGAGGAAAGAGAGAUGCAAAAGAUUCCUUAUGCCUCAGCAGUAGGGAGUCUAAUGUAUGCUCAAGUAUGUACGCGUCCGGAUAUUGCGUACAUUACUGGGAUAUUGGGUGGAUAUUUGAGUAAUCCUGGAUUAGAUCAUUGGAAAGCAACCAAACGGGUCUUACGAUAUCUACAGAAAACAAAGGAUUACAUGCUCACGUAUCGGAAGUCAGAUGAGUUAGAGAUCAUUGGGUAUACUGAUUCCGAUUAUGCUGGAUGCAAAGAUAUUAUGAAGUCAACGUCAGGCUAUGUCUACUUAUUGGCUGGAGGUGCCAUAUCCUGGAAGAGUGCUAAACAGUCCCUCAUAGCAUCUUCCACCAUGGCUGCAGAGUUUAUAGCUUGUUAUGAGGCAUCCAACCAGGGAAUUCGACUGCGAAAUUUUGUCACAGGAUUACGUGUAGUGGAUGGCAUUGAAAGACCACUCAAAUUAUUCUGUGACAAUAAGUCAGCAGUCUUAUAUUCCAAUAACAAUAGGAGCUCGAUCAAAUCUAAACAUAUAGAUAUCAAGUUCCUGACUGUUAAAGAAAAGUGCAGAAUGGACAGUUAUCAAUAGAGCAUAUCGGGACAAACUCCAUGGUUGCGGAUCCGCUUACUAAGGGAUUGCCACCCAAAAUGUUUCAUGAGCAUACUGCUCAUAUGGGUGUCGUAUUAAAUGAUGUAUAGUUUUAGUGGGAGUUUGUUAUUUUAAAUGCUCUUAUGAUAUUUUUCAGUUAUUAAGGAUUUAAGGAUAUUUUAUGCAUAAAUAAAGUUUGGAUUUAUUUGCACUCUAAUUUUGGUAUGAUUUGAUCUCAUAAAAUUUAAGGUGGACCAGUUGAAAAUAGGCAUGUUUUGAUCACAUUACAUGAAAUUUCCAUGCUACACAUCCACAUCAUAAUUCAUGUCAUUCAAUUGCAUUGAUAUAUGUGACCAUUGAUAGGUCGAGUUACGAAAUUGUAACAAAGGCCGCUUUGAUCCUAUAUUGGUGUAAUUGAUGGACCGAAUUGGUUACAGAUACAUUGUGAUAAUGACAGUAAAGUUGAGCUCAUACGGUUAAUUGCAAAACAUAAUUAUAAGGUUACACAUAUAGUCCAAGUGGGAGAUUGUUGGAUCCUUAAUCCAACAUUGGACUUAUAUGUGAAUAAUUAUGCAUUGCAAACUGUCAAUUAAGGUUUAACCCAAUUAAAGUGAUCAAAUAUAGUUUGGGUUUAAUGUAUCUAAUAGGAUGUGGGCCCUUUAAUGUGUAGAAACUUAUGGGCUCCUAUUUCAAUGAUGGGCUGAAAUAGGGCUCCAAAAGGUAACAGGAAUGUUACCUAUAAAUAGAGUUAUGGUCCCCAGGUCACAGGUAUCGUUUUAGUUGAAGUAUUUCCUAAUACCACAAAAUAUCUCUUCCCUGAUAUCCCAUCGUCAGGAAAGAUACCAGAGAGAAACUAAAGGCUUCUCUCAAAGGAUCGGUGAAUACCUGUUGACCUGGAAGGCCACCCCAAAUCCCAAGGGAUUCAAGUGUCGAAUUUAUCAAUAUGGAUUCAGGUACGCUUCCGCUAUUUUACAGUUAAUAUAUUUCUUAAUAAUCACCAUACAGAUCUUGGGUUUAAAGGUGAUGGUUUUCACCAGUGGUUAAAUUUAGAUAACCACCCUAACAGAAGAGUCUACAGAAGCAGAGUCAACUCCCCCAGAAGCAGAGGAGAUUUCUUCAGAAGGAGAAUCUAUUUCCUCUCAUCACACAAUUGACAAUUGUGAGAGUGAAUGUACAGCGGGAUUUCACUCAUCAGGUCAGAUAAAACUAUAUUUGCAUAUGUUGAAUCAGUUCAAUUAUAUACUGAUUCAUGUUUCUCUCUAUGUUGGCAAACCAUUCAUGUGCUUCUAAAUUCUUUUUCUGUUUAAACCUGAUGCUGCUACAUAACAUUCUGAUAAAUUUCUAAUUGCAGUAGGAAACACAUUGAUGCCCAAUCUGUUUCUAAAAUCUUCUUCUUGUCAUUUUCUGGUUCAGUGUUGAGUAAUUUUUAUGUAAGGAUCUUCCUUGUUGCUACAUAUUGAUAUGAUACUCAAAGCGUAACUUGAUAUGGUCCUCAAAACCAGAUACACUUAUCUGUUCCCAAUUUGUGUAUGUAAAUAAGAGUAAUACAGAAAAGUGUGACUUGCUUCUAGUUUCCCUCAAUAAAAACCAUAAUUCAAUUGAUUGAUAUGUUGAAACAUAAAAUCACACUUUUGAAACAAAUAUUAAGUGGAGACAAAAUCCCAAAAAAAAAACUAUGGUUGUGUUACUUUUCAAUAGAGGAAGGGCAUAGGACUUAAAUAUGUGUUUUUCUUCACUACAAUAUGCUGAAAUACAAACAUUUUCAUUCUUUACUAGGCAAUAUUUUCGGAAGUAAAAAAGGAAGCAAUUUUUUCUUAAAAUUUUUUUUUUGGUGUGUUUCAUGUUUUAUUUUGCUAUUUUAAGUGGUUAAUUGCUCAAACUGAUCAAAAUUACAAAUUGUUGGGUAAUCUGUAUAUCUCUUCAUUCAACUGAUGUAGUACUGCAAUUAUUCCUUCUUCCAGAGUAGAUUUCCUCAGAAAGAGAGUCCAUUUCUUCUCAUCAUCACAUUAGACAAUGGUGAAGACUGAAGCAUUAAUGUCUCUCCUUGAUUUGGUGUGAUCAUUCCACUCAUCAGGUUAGAUAUAAUUGUAUGUGUAUGUUAAUUCAGUUCAAUGAUAUAUAAUUGCUGAUCAUGUCCCUUCUUCAUCAUCUGUACCAAAUUACUUGGUUUGAACCUGAUGCAGCUGUAUUACUUUGUCAUUGCAGGGGCAAGCACAGUCAUGCACUCUAUCAAGCCAACAUUAUCCAUCAUAAUCUGUUUGUAAAAUGUUCUCCAUGUUUUUUUCUGGUCUGAUGUUUAAUAGUGUUUAUGAUCCAUCACAAUCUGUUUGUAAAAUAUUCUCCAAGUUCUUUCCUGAUUUUGAUGUUUAAUAGUGUUCAUGAUCCCAAUUUUUCAAAUAUUCUUCAAUCCUGCUACAGAUUGAUAUGAUCCAUCACAUGCUGUUUGUAGGAUGCUCUUUUCUGAUUUGAUGUUUAUUAGUGUUCAUUGCUACUACGGAUUGAAAUUAAUGAUCAAAUGAUCCUUAAAACCAGCGGACAACAAGCAUACAUGCGAGACUCACUUUUCUCUUCCUUUCAGUAAUACAAAAGAUUUUGACUUGUUUCUGUUUUUUCCUCAAUAAAACUCUCAUGCAACAAAUACUUAGUAUAGACCAAAAAAGAAAAAAAAAGAUCUAAAUUGUGUUACUUUUCAAAUAGAGAAAGUGCAUAGGAACAAAAUGGUAAAUUUUGCAUCAACAUGAUUAUAUUUUCAUGUAUACCUAUAUUUUGGCGAACACAUCCAAUAAAAGGAGGCUAUUUAGUAGCCACUCGCAUUUCUUUGCAUUCUUCAACUUAGCAAAAGUCUAAAGGGUGUAACUUUUCUUAAACUUUUUUUCUAUGCUAUUUCAUCUUUUAUUUUCUGAUCAAUGUGAUUAAUUGUUCAAUGUUCAACCUGUUAAAAAUGACAAAUUAAAGAAACUGGAUGACAUUUUUGCUGAACAAUCUAUAUACUUCUUCAUUUAACUUGACAUCUAAUUGUGAUAUUCUAUACCAUGUAACUUAUUUAAUGCAAGAAUAUUUAGAAAAUAGACAAAACCAUUAGCUGGCAAUCAUCUAAGACCAAUAUUAACAUUGACGAGGAAACCAUUACAUGUGAAAAGGGAUGGGAGGAUUAGAAAAAAAAGAAAAAGAAAAAGAAGAGACUCUUCUUGUCUAUAUACAAUAGUGUUCCUCUAUGUGGCUUGUAUAAUUGACUAGACAGCAUAGGCAAGACUUAUAAUGAUCAAAUCACUCUACGUUAAAACGUUAACCUUUUAAGGUUUAUUCCACUUGGACCUUUAAAGUUCUUUCUAUUUUCAUUUUGCUUAAUUUUUGUUACAAAACUUUACGUCCUAUCUUUCAAAACAAAUUCUAAAUCUUACAAAGGACUUAAAUAUUGAAUGAAAAACCUUAUAUUCACCUUUUUUUUAUCAAAUAUUCACCGAGUUAACAUUGCUCUAAGCUGAACUAGGGCAUGAGAGCACAAUCUACUAUUGUUAAUGCCGGUGUUGAAGUUUUUAAUUCACAGUGUGUAAAUAUGGGUGUAAAACAAAGUUAGCCUCCUAAUAUUCAUAAUUUUAAUUUAUAGUGUGAUAUAUAUAUAUAUAUAUAUGAAUUAGCCACCUUUGAAUUAAUUUUUUCUUCAAAAAAGAGUUAGUUAUUUUUUGAUUAUGCUAGUUAUUUAACUUUUAAAAGAGUAAACAUAUAAUCAAUAAUCCAUAGUAAAUUGACCCAAUUUGAUAUAUUAUAAUAAAUGACCCAAUUCAAAAUUAUCAAUGGGCUAAAACAAAAGUAAUUAUUUUAUUGGCUUGUAUAUAAAUAGACAAUUCAGUCCAAAUUGAUUAGACUCGUUUCUCACUCUUCAUGUAUUAACUAUAACUAUAGAGCAGAUAUUUUCAAUUAUGAAGAUAAUCAAGAUAGUUACAAAAUAAGAUGGAAGAUAAUUUCCUGAAUGAUUGCCUAAUUGUGUACAUAGAAAAGAAAGUUGUUGAAAAAUUUAGCGAUGAUUUAAUCAUAGAUAAAUUUACUUUUAAAAGGAACGUAAAACUCAAUUUACUUUUAAGAAAAGAGGUUGAAAUUUUAGUGUAUGUUAACAUAACAUUUAUCUUUUUUAAUUAAAAUAGUCAUAUUUAUAUUGCAUAUAUAUAUUUAUUAAUUUAUUUUGCAUAGGCUACAUAUUGGAGUAUCCUUUCAUAAUGUGCAACUUGGGUGGUUUGUGAUAAUAUAAGACAUUUAAGAAAAGUUUAUUUUUUGUCUUAAUUUUCAUUUUGACUAUGUUGCAUAUUUAUAAAAUAAACAUACCUUUAUAAUUAAAGUUAAUAUUUGAUAUUUUUAGAUGUCAUAUAUUUAAAUAGAUGAAAAUUAUUUUGAACAUAGCAUAUUAAAAUAAUUUUGUUAGAAAAAUUUUUAGGCGCCUAAGAAAAAAAUCUUGACUCCGUCACUGCAUGUAUCCCAUUUGGCGUUCUCCUUCUCCCUAGCAUAAAAGAUGAGAUUUGUUCACAAAAAGAGAGCAAGUUGGAGAAGAUGAGGUUACUAGAAUAACCAGCGGUAGAACAAAUUCUCGUCUUGUAUACCAUUUGCCACGAAUCCUUCAUCAUAGUUCCUCUUUUUUCCAAUCUAUCCUAAUUUUAAAUCCAUUUUGCUCAUUAGUAUAUUCAAAUAUUUAACUUAAUUACAGGUUUAAAACCUCAAACCUCUUCUGGAAGUUGAGGCCGGUUUACAUUGGAUUAGACAAAUUUUUGUUUGAGUUAUGAUUUUUUUCUUCAAGGAGUCAAAAUGAACCUUUCAUUCCUUUUGGACCAUUUUUUCUUCAGGAGUCCCGAACUCCAUGGGGUUUUGGUUUUUCUAGUGACUUCUGACACAUCAGAACCUUUUCAAACAAAACAUACAUUAAAAUGAUUGAACUGAUGGAUCAGGUGUUUUAACUGAUAAAGUCAAAACCAAUCACUCAUUUUGUUCAUCACUGGUCCGCCUUUUAAAAUAUUGGAAAAAUGGCCUGUUUCAUCCCUCACAUUUCGCAAAAAUAUUCUUUUCGUCCCUCACUUUUAAAAUGAAGCAAAUUCAUCCCUGACAUUUAAAAAUUAAAGCUAUUACAUCCCUGAAUCUGAUUUUCAAUCUGAAUCAAACCAUCCAAUAACCCAGUAAUAAAUUUCGAAAAUAGAAUUGAUAGAUCAUUCGGUCAACUUCAUUGCAUUCACAUGACAUUUAUUAAACCAAAAAAAUAAAAAUUAUAACAUAAAAGGGCAUUCUUUGUCUUGGAAUAGUAGAUUUUUAUUUUUAUAAAUCUUUUCAUGCAUCGUUAGUAUAUCCGCUUGCGAAUCUAGAUGUGUAUCAUAAAUAUAAAAUUUGGUGUUUAAAUUUAAAUUAAAAUGAUAUGGCGGUACAUAAAACCUUCAGUAUAUACAAUGAUAAUGUAGAAAAGAUUAAUUUUUCUUUUUUAUAUUAUAAUUUUUUAUUUUUUCUUUUUAGGUUCAUUAAAUUUUACAUGAAUAUCAAGUUGAGUUAAUCGAGUGAUCUACCAAUUACACCCCCAAAAUUUGUAAUCAGGUUGAUUGGUGGUUUGAUUCAGAUUGAAAUUUGGGUUCAGGGAUGUAAUAAUUUUAGUUUUUAAAUGUCAAGGACGAAAUUGCUUCAUUUUAAAAGUGAGGGACGAAAAGAAUAUUUUUGUGAAAUGUGAAGGAUGAAACCGAUCAUUUUCCCUAAAAUAUUUUUAACCGCUAAAGUUGUUCAAAAAGUCGAAUACUUUGAAAAAAAAAAAUCUUCCCUGAAGUUUCUAGUAAUAUCAUUUAGACACCCCUAUAGUUCUCAAAGUAUCACUUACCUUCCCCACAAGUGAGGUGGCAAAAAUUCACCAUCGCAACAUGCAAAGUGAAAGUAUUACCCUCACAACUUAAGAUUAUUUGUUCUAAAAGAUUUUGGAAGGAAAAAGAAUAUAAAUUGACAAAUUAGAAUGUCUAUCUUAAGAAUUUUUGGCACUUAAACAUUCAUACUUUUUUAGUCCUUCUAUGCCACCCAUAUAUUACAUUGUCCUUAAUAUUCUAAUAAUAAUUUAGACAAAAAAUGUAGAAAAAAAAUUAGAUCAAUAUAGAUAAUUGCCAUUUAGUAGUUAAUUUUGCACUUAAACCCCCCUUUCCUACACUCCAACUUUUUUUAAAGUGCUUCUAUGCUAACUUUAUAUUAGAAUACCCUCCCUACUCUAGCAAUUAUUCAAAAAAAAAAUUAGUAGAUUAAGUACCAAAAUUUUAUACAACUAAAAAUUUGAUAUUCUAAAAAUUAUAUUUCACUUGAACACCCCUUUGAUCCACUUUGAAUACUCUAAUGACAAUCUUAUAUUAAAUAGCCCUAGCCCUUCUAACGACUUUUUAGGCAAAAAAGUUUAGAAGGAAAAAAAAAACCAAAAUCCAUCAAAGAAUGGUCAUCUUAACAAUUAUUUUUUACUUAAACUAUCCCUUCCCCAAACUUUUAGUUCUCCUGUGCCAACUUUAUAUUAACUGAACUCUCCUAUUCUAACAAUUGUUUGUACAAAAAGAAUCAAAUGCACUUGAGCAUCUUCUGAAUUAAAUGCAAAUCCAGGGAUUCGAUCACCUAAAAUACAAACUAAUAAAGAAUUUAAGGUAAUAUUACACACCCUAAUAGAAUGACAUGUAUCAUUAGUAGUGCGUUUAAUCCAGAAGCUGCUCAAGAGGACUCUUCUUGCCACCGAUUUCCCAUAGAACCUUCAGUCCAGCAGAUCUAAUCUCCUAGCUUGCAUUCAAUUUAAAAGGUGCUCAACUAUACUUUUUUGGCCACACCUUACGUCACACAGUGUUGGGUUAGGAUUAGGAGUAGAUUAACUAAUAUUGUAUCAACAACAGAAAAAAAAGGAACAAAAAAAAAAACAAAGAUAACCUAGAUCCUUUGGAUCCACUAGUCCCGGUGGUAUUCGACUAGGAGUAGAGUGCACUUUUUUAAUAACUCCUUUUCCAUAAUGUAGGUACAGAUUAACCAAUAUCAUAUUUGGUUAAAAACAAAAAAGACAAAGACAACCAUUUAACCAUCACACCAUGUCAAACGUUUAUGACUAUCCAUUUUUUGUUUUUUCUAGAAUUUUAAAUUCUUAGAAUCUGAUGUUCCUAAAAUGGUCUUUGAUUGCUGUAAAGGGUUUACUACACUUGGCCACCUUAAAGUUCCUUUUAUUUUCAUAUUGCUCUUUAAAUAUUUAGUUAGAAAACUUUACAGGAUUUUCUUUCUAAAGUUGGCUUUUCAUGCCUUACAAAAGGAAAAGAAAAGAAGGGAAGGUUAGAAAGUUGAAUUAAAAACCUUAUGAAUUUUUAUUAAUGUCUUCCAAUUGGAUCGAAGCUUGAGAUUCCAAUCUAUUAAUGUUCACAUUGUAAGGCUUUUUCUAUAUAAUGUCGUAGGGCCGUACAAUAAACAAACUAAAAAUGGACGGUGAAUCCGCCCCUGUAUUACAAUACUAUCGAAGAAGAAAUUAUUUAAACCCAUGUUGACCCUUUUCUCAGAGUUAUCUAACUUAUAACAAUGUAGUUGGAAAAAUAACUCCUCCAAUUAGAAAGUGUUAGCACAUAAAAACACACAACGGAAGCAUGUUACAUUAGGGUGAGCAAACGAUGCAUAUUCGGUAAAUUAGUUAGUUAAAUUUGGUAAAUUCGGUUAUUUGAUUUAUAGAAAUUUAAACCGCUUUCAAAUUUAAACCGAAUUCAUUAAAAAAAUUUACAAAUUUAUAAUUUACAAUGAUUAAUAAUAAGUAAUAUUAGUUACAAACUUACAAAUUACAAUGAUUAGUGAUAAGUUAUAUUAGUUACAAACUUAUAAUUUACAAUAAUUAGUGAUAAGUUACUAAGUUACAAACUUAUAAUUUAUUUUAAAUCAAAUACAGCUUAUUUACUUACUUAUGUUAUUGUGUAGUUGUCUUGUCUAUGCUUAAAGCCUAAAUUCUAAUUACUAAUUAUGUUUAUUGUUUAAUAUUUAGUAUUAUACAUUACUUAUUAAUUAUUAUCUAAUUCUAGUCAUGUAAAAAUAAUAGGUAUUAUAGUUAUGUUAUGUAUUAUUGUAUAUUUGUAUUAUUAUAGUCAUAUAACACUAAAAUAGUAUAUUGUACAUCACUAUAUAUUAUUAUUAUCAUAAGUACAUGAUAAUACCAUGUACUAACUGUUAUUAAUAGCAUUUACCUAUAUAAUAUAAUAAUAUAUUAAUAGUAUGUAUUAAUACUAAAUAGCAUUUAUCUAUAUAUUAUAUAAUUUUAUAAACUAAUUUGGUAUUCGAAUGCGGUAAUAAAGUACCCUAUUUCAUUUUACCGAAUUUGAAUGCGAAAUCGGUUAUUAUCAAAUUUAUAAUCUCAUUACCUAUUUCAUAACAUUUAGAAUUUGAUGAAUUCGAUAAAUACUGCUUUUGUACCAAAUUACCAAAUACCCGAUUUCUAAUUACCAAAUUGAAUUUGAAUUUGGUUAUGAAUUCAGUAUGUACCGAAUAUACUCACCCCUAAGCAUGUUGGACACAUAUAGAAACAUGUGGUAGAAGCGGAGUUUAAUAACCAUAAACGUAUAAAGCAUAUCUGUUUCUCAUAUUUAGACUUGCAUAAAUUCUAGCAGAAUUGCCUUUAUAACAACUGCAACUCUCUUUAGUAUUUCUCUUAAUUUUCUCAACUGGAUACAAUAUUGAAAUAUCUUAUAUAUUCUCAACAUGACUUGAAAAUUAAAAUUCUACUAAAAUAAGAAAGUACCAUAUAAUUACUUCAUAGCCUGAAUACCUAAAUUGGUAAAACUUGGCUAUACUUUUGUUUUAACUUUUCCAGUAGGGAAAAGGUGGGACUUAAGAAGUGAAGAAGCGACGGAGUGAUCUGAACCUAAGGUCUCUAAUUUCUAGAGCCUUAACCUUAUCCAUUAAACUGAGGUUUCUAGGCAAAACUUGGCUAUACUUGAAUACUUCUAAACUAGAAAUAGAAAACAUCAAUUAUUAGGAAGUUCGGUUUAAUUAUGUCAACAUUGCUUCCUUUAAACCAAACUUUUCACGAAUAUAGCUCUAUACUAUUGCCAACCAAAAAAAAAUCUUCUAAGAUAUUUUUUCAUUAUAAAUCAAUUCUUGCCAAUCACUUCACUUUCAAUUUAUCAGCCUCACUAGCUGAUUACUGAUAUCAAGAUUCUCAAUUUUGCAAGUCCAUCACAAAAAAAAUGUCGACAAAAAUUUUUCGACAUUUUUUUCAACUCUUUCACAUUACCAAAUUAAAUAUCAACAACUAUGGUAGGAUUUUUUUUCUCUAAUCACUGUCUAACACAAAUAACGCGAUAACGUCUAUCCAAUUAGGUUCAAUUUUUUUCCUAAUAGUCAAGUAACUGGAGUACCCCAAUAUUAAUUUAGUAAUUUAGUGGCCCAAUUUUUUCUGAUGUUCGAGUACUCUGACUCAUCAAAAAAUUCACAUUUCAAAAUCUAUCAACAUCAACCUUGUAAUCUUAAGUUUACAAGCAUCCCAAGAUCAAAAGGCAGGGCUCUAAUACCACUUUAGUGUAUAAAAGAUGCGUACAAGAGGAUAUUGGCACAUGUAAAAAUAUGUAGGAGAAGAGGAGUUUAAUAGCCAUAAAUGCAUAAAGCACAUCUGAUUCACAUAUUGAGAUUGGCACAAAUCUAGGCAGAAUUGCUUUUACAACAGCCCCAACUCUCCUUAAUUUUUUCUCACCCUUUUCAACUCAAUAUAAUGCUAAAAUACCCUAUAUAGAGUUAACAUAACUUAGUAAUUAAGAAACUAUUACAACAAGAAACUACCACAUAAUUACUCCGUACCCUAAACAACUAAAUUACUGAAACUUGGCUAUACUUGAAUACGUCUAAACUAGAAAUAGGAAACAUCAACUAUUAGGAACUUUGGUUUAAUUAUGCCAAUAAAAAGACAUAUUCUUCUGACCAUCACGCUAUGUCAAAACGUGCAUGGGUUUCGUUGAUUUUAGCAAUGAUAACUGUUCCACAUAAAGCAAUGGCAACAUGGAUUUAGGAUAAUUUCAUAAGUUAAUUUUGCAUAUAAUGAUAGUGCAUAUAGUAACAACAAUGAAUGAAUGCCACCUAAACUUGAUAUAAUGGUAGUGUAUAAUUUGAAUUUUGUUUCUUGAACAUGUAGCUUGUAAUAUUAUGGGAUAAUUUCAGAAAUCUCCACUAAGGUUAUUGACAAUUUCACUUGUUGAUAGAUCAUAAUUUGUUGCUAAAUUUAUAAUUAUUUUUCCCUUUGAUUUUAGCCAAAUAUUAUUUUAAUUGAUUGAUUCUACUUAUAUUUGGUUAAUGGUGCUAAUUGUAGGAAAAUGAGCAAAAUGUGAUUAAAAGUGGUAAUUUUCCAGUUAAUUUGAUGAUGGUACGUUCGGGACCUACAUUCAAGGCUAGAAAGUCGAGAUUGAUAUUGGCAGUCUCCGAAUCCAAAUCAAGUUCCUAAUUUGUUAGCUGCGAGGACUCUCCUUAUUUUGGGGAUCAUUCUCAAAUAAAAGGAAAGUUGGAGGAAAUUGAUUUGUAAUAGGAAUCUUUUUAAGAGUUGGAUUGGUAUUAGGAAACCAAUCAAUUAGGUAAUUGAGAAAAGAUUUGGCAGACAUCAAUUCAUCAUCUCUUUGGCUACAGAAAAAAAAAAAAGCGAUAGUUACUCUUGUCUUUUACUUUUUCUUUUUAGCCGACUUUUGGGAGGAAAAAUGAUGGAAAAGCUUGGAACAAUUAUUUGCAUGGCUUGUUCUCCAUUAAUGGAGAACUAAUUUUAUACUUCUAGUCAAGGGGACAACUGAAGAUUUGGUUCAACAAUUACUGUGAGAUCUAAAUUAUUUUAACUGUUUCCUCCAUUUAUUGGUAUUCGUAUGUUUUCUGCUUUUAAUUGUUGUUAUAGCUAUCGUGUAUAAUUGAAUAGAUGUGCAAUAUUUAAUUAUUCACGUAGGCUAUUUGCUAAUUGGGGGUAGUUAAAUCUGUAAUUGUUCGAUUACUUUCAUCCCGGUAGCAACUGGCAUAAUUGGGUUUAUGUCAGGAAAACAUACGAUCUAAUUUAAACAAACCCUCGUAGCAUGUUUGUUAGUUAGGAUUGGACCUUUACAAAUCUUAAUGCAAACCAGAAAUUAAAUCCUAUGGUCAUACCUAGAAUUGUUUCUGAGUUGAAGAAAUAGUUAACGGUCAUACUUUGACUAUCGAAUAAGUAAGGAAAAGUUGGUUGUUUAUCGUGUGUAUGACAGUUAUAAUCAAUCUAUUAAUAAAUGUUGAAAUUAUUUGUGAAUUGAUGAUCAGUGCAUGAACCAUUUCUGAAGUGUACCCUUGGCUAGAGUUUCUCCAUUUAUUUCUGUCAUUUAAUUAUUUUUUGCAUUUGAUUUAUUUAGUUCAUUAGCAUUUAAUUCUAAAACCUCCCAUUUAUCUUGACUCGAAAGGAAACAAAUUUCUCUCCAGUCCCUGAGGAGACGAACCUACUCGCCACUGUCUACUAGUUAGUGAAUUUUGUCAGUUAAUUAAUUCUGAUAUAUCGGAUUAAGCAAACUCUUCGGGAAUAUGGUGAAUCAAGUAACCCAUUACACACCUAGAGUCCCUGCUCCAGUACCUAGAAUUGAUUAUUGACUGCUUUUGGUGAUAGUUAGGUUUUAUUAUCAUUAUUGUACAGGCUCAGCACCUGUCAAUUUUUGGUGCCGUUGUCGGGGAUUGGUGUCUGAUUAAUUUGUUUCCUUUUGAGUUCAUCUUGUUUUUAUUUUUUUAUUUUUCUCUUUUUUUUAUAUAUAGUUUAUGGCUGCUAACAUUCCGUAUUUUGGUGAUAGAUUAGAUUUUAUUUCUAGAAAGGGUUAUGAAACUCAUGCUUUUCCUAAUGAUCAAUUGGCUAUUGCAAAUUAUGGAAGUUAUUUUAUCUCAGAUCAUUCAACUGACAAAUACCCGCAUUUCAAGAUGGGCUAAGUACUCCAAUCGAUACUUUUCGAGAUUUUUCAUCUCAAUAUCAAAUGUGAUAUAACCCGUAUUCAAACGGGUAUGAUCAAGGAUGGUGGGAUAAUUUGAAUCUCAAUUAUGCAAAAGGGCCAAUAGAUUUUCAACAGCAAGAGCCUCAACAGCCAUCAUCCAUGUCAGGUAUGUCUCUUGAAGAAAUGAUAAAAUCAAUAGCUGCUAACACACAUCAACUUCAAUAGGAGACAAUGGAUUUUCAUCAAGAGACAAUGGAUUUUUAUCAGAAGACACAAGCAAGCAUGCGUAACCUGGCAGAUCAAGAGAAUCAAUUGACAUCUAGAAUAACGCAAUUGAAUUCUCGAAUGUGUGAAGAAUUGCCCUAACGGACUAGUAUCGACCAUGAGAAAGAUGAGAGUACAAUUAUCCUGACGAAUGACAUGGUACUGCAAGAGUCUCAAGAAAAAGGAUCUAAAGAUGCAGUUGAAAAGAAAGUUAAGUGCAAGAAAUGAGACCCCAACAUCAAAUGGUUUAAGUGAAUAAAUCCAGUGAACAAUCUCCAAAUGCGGUGACAUCUCCUCCAUUUUUUAAUCAAUAUUUUCCUAACUCUUAUUCUUUAAUUCUUGUUAGUGAAAUUGAUUUUAUUAUACUAGAAGAUUUUAAGUUUCAUGAUAGGAAUAAGUUAAGAGUUGCAAUAGCAAAAUAUCUCGAAUCAGUAAGUGCUCGUGAUGGAGGAGUGAGUGAAGAAUUAAGGUCAUUACUUGUUUGUUUGGCGCUAUCUAGUAAUCCAUGGAAGACCGUACCUCAUGGGCUCUAGAAUUACUCUAUUUACGAGAGAUAUCAGAACUACAUAGAAGAUGAAGUACUGAAACGAACUGCACGAUUUUAUCCCCCAUGAAUAAAUAUGGAAAUGUCUAACCAAAGACAUUAAAGAAAGGCGCUGCUUGGGAGGCAAUCCAAGGCCUUUGUUUUAGUUUUCUUAUAUUUUUAGAGUUUUUGUUAAGUGUUAGUUGCAUUUAGUGAUUUGUUGCUUUUGUGGCAGGAAGUUGAUAGUUGGGCGUGCUCGCAUCUAGUAGGCACGCCUAAAAAAUGCAAUUAUUUUUCUGCGGUCAGAAAACUCUCCAAUAGUUAGACGUGCCCACGCCAGAUGGUCACGCUUAAGGAAGGCAAUUUUCAUCUACAGUCAGAAGACUCUAUAGUAGUUAGGCGUGCUCACGCCAAGUGGUCACGUCUAAGGAACUCAAUUUUCGAAAAUUGGUCAGAAGACUCUCUAGUAGUUAGGUGUGCCCACACCAAGUGGUCACGCUUAAGAAUCUUAAUUUUCAUGGGUUGGUCAGAAGGUUCAAGGGCAGUUAGGCGUGCCUACGUCUAACGCAGUGGUUCCAAAAUUUUUUUUUUCCUUUCUUUUCUUUUUCUUUUUCCUUUUCUCUUUCUUUCUUCUUUCUUUCUCUCUUUUCUUCUUCUCUCCCUUUUUUUUAUUCCUUUCUUUUCUUUUCCAGCCACAAGACCGCAACCAAAGGUCCUUAAAUUUCAUUGUCACCGUUGCGCUGUUCAUCGUGGGUCGUCAGUUCCUGAUUAUUGCUGCUCAUCGCGUGUAAUUCUUCCUCAUCCAUCGUGAGCCACUCGACAUCCUUAGCUGCCGAUCAUAUCCUUCAUCUUUAUCAGUUUUGCUAUCAAGUUCUACAUGUCUUUUGCCUCUCACCUACAGCUGUGUCACAACCUCCCUUUGAUGAUCAGAAAAGUUUCGUUAUCCCUUUUUGCUUUGUAUUUUAUUCUUUAUUACUUAUAUUGGGGACAAUGUAAGAUUUAGGUGUGGGGGAAUAGUAUAUUAGUGUGACAGCCCCACCUCCCCCUAAGGCGAACCAGAGGGUUCGGCGGACCGCCUGCCCAACUCUCGCCGGGACUCAGUCGUUCACUAAUGUUCCAACAUUUACAUAUCAAAAGCGAAGCGUCCACGCUUCCACUGCGCCACUUUGAUCCAUGAUCCCAAUUCUUAUACAAGAGGAAUUCCACAACAAUAAAAUCACAACAAGCCUUCCUUCGCCACGAGCCCUGUGUAGGGGAAUAAAAUAGUUUUGGGGUGAGUUAGAAGCUCAGCGAGUAACCAGUAAAAUCAGAAAUCAAAUAUAUUUCACAAUAAUGCAUUUCGAUCAUUUCGAUGAUGUCAUGAUUCAGAGAUCAAAUGUACGUUUAUUGCUCUCAUGAGCCGGUGAAAUCAUUGCACUUGAACACCCAACGCUCAAAUAGAUCAUUUAACAUUAACAUUGAGAGGGAGCCCCUUUUUGAGCUCCAGAUAAACAUGAACAUGAACCAUAAACAAGGUGGAGACGUUGGUGUCCAGCACUAGACUUUCCCAGAACUCAUUGAAGCCAAAUCAUGUCAUGAAUCCACAUGCAAGCACGCACGAUAUGCAAUCGAAUAAAUAAUGCAAGAAGCAUUUCACAAGUACUUUGGAAAUAGUUUAGGGUCACUCACCUCCAUGGCUCAGAAAUCAUCUAUCAUAUAACAUUGCCUUGCUCAAAUCCAAGUCUUAGAUCACAAACUCAAUGCAAACAAGUCCCUUCAAAGUUCGGACAGCACUUCCCCUGAAUUAGCUAACUUUUUCAGCCAUCAUGGCUUCAUUAUUUUCUCAGCCAAUCCCAAAGGUACACACACAACAACAAGUUCAUCCAAUAGUCAUUCAGCAAGCUCCAAGUAGUACUAGUACAAGUCAAGUUAGGGAAAAGUCCGGAAAUGAAAGUUAAGCUCAAAACCAGGAAACAGUUUUUGACAUCAUUUUACGGUAAUGGCACCAAAGGUACUACGAUUAUCGGAUGAAGGUGCAAGACCCACCGUUUCGAAUCUAAGAGAUAGGGUUUCAAUAUUACAGAAGGUCACUCAACCUAGUUUUGAGUGUAACCAGGUCAAAAAUGCAAGAUACUACACCGGAAUCACAAAAACAGAUUCACAGAACGCAUUCUAGCGGAAACAUCAUAAAUCAGGCUAUCCAAGUCAAAAUCCAGAAAUUUCAAAACCAGCUGAAAGCUAAGAAACAGGGUUACAUUUCAUCAGAAGACCUCAACAACCAAUUCGGAAGCAUUCCUGACCAAAACAACCAAUUACAGAAGCAAUUCCCAAAUUCGGGUAAAACCAGGACAGCAAGGGAAAUUUUGACUUUUCCCAUUUUACGCUACUCCGAUUGACUUGAAAUUUUGUAGGCACCUCUAAAAUGUCAUUCCCUACAACUUUCAUGUUUUAAGUCAAGACUAAUUCGGCCUCUAACUAGGAGCUAUAAAUUCGGGCAGAAUGUUAUUCACAAAAACCCUAACUUGUCAAUUUUUCUUCCAAACAGAAAUUGGUUGCAAUCAUCCACUUUUUCCACCUUCUAGAGUCAUUAUAUACCAUUUCUAAUCAUCAUAGAUUGCCACACAAUCAUGCUUAUAUUAAAACAGAAAAAUCCCCAAAAAUAAUAAAACUUCAUCACUUCAACCACAAAUCAAGAAAUAAUCCAUAAAAGUGCAUCUUAUACCACCACCAAUCAUGAAUUGAACAUCAUUAGAGGAAGGAGAGGGGUCCUUCACAACUCACCUUAGCAACAAGAGAUAGAGCAACUAGCCACCUUAGCUUUCCAAACAACUCCACAAAACACCUCAAGACCACUUAGCAAAGAGAUUUUAUGGAAUGAUUUGGAGUUUUAUUGGUUGGAUUUGAAGAUUGAGCAAGAAAUAGAAGGAAGAAAUUGAUAGCUUUUCUUUCUUUUCCUUUGAGAGAGAGCCGGCUAUGAAGCUUUAGAAAUAAGGAUGAUUUUUGGCAAUUUUUUGAUUUAUUUGGUAAAGAGAUAGUGUAGUCAAAGUUUAAGACUUAAUCUUAUGGUGACACUUGUCACCUUUUGGUUCAAAACUUAUCUUUUUGUCUCUCUAAUUCUAAUAUCUUAACACCUUGUAAAAUAAUAUCACUUAAUACAAAAUUUCAACAAGUUGUCAAAAAAUAUAAUGCAUUUACCGCACUAGUGGGCCCCACGUCCAAAAUACGCUCUUAAUUUCUCAAAAACUAACCGAUACUAGAAAAAUCAUUUUAAAACUAUCUUUGCUCAUAAACUUUAUUUGGGGAAUUUUUCUAAUAAAGAAAAUGUAGAAAAGGCGGGCGAUUAAAUAAAAUAAACCCUAGAAAUUUAGAAAAUUUUCGGGUUCUCAAACUCAUUUUUUUUUCGGGGUGUCACAAACUCCCUUCCUUAAAAGAAUGCCGUCCUCGACAUUCCAUUUUGUACCAAUCAAGUCGAGAUAUCCCGCAAGAAUCACUAAUAUUGCAAACCAAACCCAUAGUCCGGCAUCCUAAACUUCAAGUCUAGGAUACACUACAGAGAUCUGAAGCCUAAGCUCUGAUACCAACUGUGACAGCCCCACCUCCCCCUAAGGCGAACCAGAGGGUUCGGAGGACAGCCUGCCCAACUCUCGCCGGGACUCAGUCGUUCACUACAGUUCUCAAAUAAAUACAAGAUAAAUCUCAAAUAUAACUCAAAUGUUCCAACAUUUACAUAUCAAAAGCGAAGUGUCCACGCUUCCACUGCGCCACUCUGAUCCAUGAUCCCAAUUCUUAUACAAGAGAAAUUCCACAACAAUAAAAUCACAACAAGCCUUCCUUCACCACGAGCCCUGUGGAGGGGAAUAAAAUAGUUUUGGGGUGAGCUAGAAACUCAGCGAGUAACCAGUAAAAUCAGAAAUCAAAUAUAUUUCACAAUAAUGCAUUUCGAUCAUUUCGAUGAUGUCAUAAUUCAGAGAUCAAAUGUACGUUUAUUGCUCUCAUGAGCCGGUGAAAUCAUUGCACUUGAACACCCAACGCUCAAAUAGAUCAUUUAACAUUAACAUUGAGAGGGAGCCCCUUUUUGAGCUCCAGAUAAACAUGAACAUGAACCAUAAACAAGGUGGAGACGUUGGUGUCCAGCACUAGACUUUCCCAGAACUCAUUGAAGCCAAAUCAUGUCAUGAAUCCACAUGCAAGCACGCACGAUAUGCAAUCGAAUAAAUAAUGCAAGAAGCAUUUCACAAGUACUUUGGAAAUAGUUUAGGGUCACUCACCUCCAUGGCUCAGAAAUUAUCUAUCAUAUAACAUUGCCUUGCUCAAAUCCAAGUCUUAGAUCACAAAAUCAAUGCAAACAAGUCCCUUCAAAGUUCGGACAGCACUUCCCCUGAAUUUGCUAACUUUUUCAGCCAUCAUGACUUCAUUAUUUCCUCAGCCAGUCCCAAAGGUACACACACAACAACAAGUUCAUCCAAUAGUCAUUCAGCAAGCUCCAAGUAGUACUAGUACAAGUCAAGCUAGGGAAAAGUCCGGAAAUGAAAGUUAAGCUCAAAACCAGAAAAAUAAUUUUUGACAUCAUUUUGCGGUAAUGGCACCAAAGGUACUACGAUUGUCAGAUGAAGGUGCAAGACCCACCGUUUCGAAGCUAAGAGAUAGGGCUUCAAUAUUACAGAAGGUCACUCAACCUAGUUUCGAGUGUAACCAGGUCAAAAAUGUAAGAUACUACACCGGAAUCACAAAAACAGAUUCACAGAACGCAUUCUAGAGGAAACAUCAUAAAUCAGGCUAUCCAAGUCCAAAUCCAGAAAUUCCAAAACCAGCUGAAAGCUAAGAAACAGGGUUAUAUUUCAUCAGAAGACCUCAACAACCAAUUCGGAAGCAUUCCUGACCAAAACAACCAAUUACAGAAGCAAUUCCCAAAUUCGGGUAAAACCAGGACAGCAAGGGAAAUUUCGACUUUUCUCAUUCUACGCUACUCCGAUUGACCUGAACUUUUGUAGGCACCUCUAAAAUGUCAUUCCCUACAACUUUCAUGUUUUAAGUCAAGGCUAAUUCAGCCUCUAACUAGGAGCUAUAAAUUCAGGCAGAAUGUUAUUUACAAAAACCCUAACUUGUCAAUUUUUCUUCCAAACAGAAAUUGGUUGCAAUCAUCCACUUUUUCCACCUUCUAGAGUCAUUAUAUACCAUUUCUAAUCAUCAUAGAUAGCCACACAAUCAUGCUUAUAUUAAAACAGAAAAAUCCCCAAAAAUAAUAAAACUUCAUCACUUCAACCACAAAUCAAGAAAUAAUCCAUAAAAGUGCAUCUUAUACCACCACCAAUCAUGAAUUGAACAUCAUUAGAGGAAGGAGAGAGGUCCUUCACAACUCACCUUAGCAACAAGAGAUAGAGCAACUAGCCACCUUAGCUUUCCAAACAACUCCACAAAACACCUCAAGACCACUUAGCAAAGAGAUUUUAUGGAAUGAUUUGGAGUUUUAUUGGUUGGAUUUAAAGAUUGAGCAAGAAAUAGAAGGAAGAAAUUGAUAGCUUUUCUUUCUUUUCCUUUGAGAGAGAGCCGGCUAUGAAGCUUUAGAAAUAAGGAUGAUUUUUGGCAAUUUUUUUGAUUUAUUUAGUAAAGUAGGGAAUAGUGUAGUCAAAAUCCAAGACUUAAUCUUAUGGUGACACUUGUCACCUUUUGGUUCAAAACUUAUCUUUUUGUCUCUCUAAUUCAAAUAUCUUAACACCUUGUAAAAUAAUAUCACUUAAUACAAAAUUCCAAAAAGUUGUCAAAAAUAUAAUGCAUUUACCGUACUAGCGGGUCCCACGUCCAAAAUACACUCUUAAUUUCUCAAAAACUAACCGAUACUAGAAAAAUCAUUUUUAAAACUAUCUUUGCUCAUAAAAUUUAUCUGGGGAAUUUUUCUAAUAAAGAAAAUGUAGAAAAGGCGGGCGAUUAAAUAAAAUAAACCCUAAAAAUUUAGAAAAUUUCCGGGUUCUCAAACUCAUUUUUUUUUCGGAGCAUCACAAUUAGUAUUUUAUUGCAAAAGUGUAAGUGUAGGCAUUUUUGUUGGAAUUUUUUGUUUGACUUUGUUGAAUUUUAUCUAAUUUUUGCCUAUCUUUGUGCAUAUUUGUUAUUAUUCCUGAUAAAUGAUGGUUAGAUGUUUCAAAAUUUUCUAUUGCUAAGAUUUUACAUUCUAAGGUGUUAAGUAUGACAUGGUUAAGUUUAAGGGUAUCUUUUUUGUGAAUAUUUGAGAUUUUGUGACUUUUUGCACUUUUUGGUUAACUUCUCUAAGUAUUGUAAAUAUUUGUCUAGCAUUUUUUUAUGCAAAUUGGUUCAACUAUUAAUCUUAGUUCUCCAUGUUUAAGAAAUGAAGUGGGUUUGUAUAAUUUUUAAUUUUAAUUUGGUGUUUAUUUAUGAGCAGUAUUCGGCUAUACUCCACUAGUAUUGUUGCCUAGUAAUCGGAGGUCUUUACCACAAGUGUUGACUUUCGCGUUAAAAAGCGACGAUAGUUAUGAGUAUUUGAUCCUUUAACGAUAAAAGUUGAAUAACAGGGUUCCUUCAUUUGGCCAAUGUCGGAGUUCGCGUCAAAACGUUUAAAUGGCUAAAGACUAAGCAUUCCCCCCCUGAAGAAAAAAAAAUCAAUCAAAUGUGAAGAUAUUUAGAAAAAAUAUGUGCUAAUAGUGAAAAAUGUGGAAGUAUUUGAGUGAAUUGUUAGCCCGCUAAUCCAUAAAUUUUAAUAUUGAAAUUUUGCUUAAUAGUCGAAUCAUUUACUUAUGGAUAUUGGUUGAAUAUUUUAUAUUUUUAGAUUAGAUAGUCAUAAAUUGAAAGAGUCCUUGAUCUUAAAAACUAAUUGGAGAGAUAUUUUUUGAAAAUUGUCACUAAUACUUGACAUAUGUUUUAAUUGUAUAUUGGCAAUAGAAGAUUUGAGCAAUAGCCAUUGUUUGAAUUUGAUUGUUUGAUUUGUUGCUCUCAUGCUUGAGGACAAGCAUGAUUUAGGUGUGGGAAAAAUUGAUAGGUCAUAAUUUAUUGCUAAAUUUAUAAUUAUUUUUUCCUUUGAUUUUAGCCAAAUAUUAUUUUAAUUGAUUGAUUCUACUUAUAUUUGGUUAAUGGUGCUAGUUGUAGGAAAAGGAGCAAAACGUGAUUAAAAGUAGUAAUUUUCCAGUUAAUUUGAUGAUGGUACGUUCGGGACCUACAUUCAAAACUAGAAAGUCAGGAUUGAUAUUGGGCAGUCUCCCAAUCCAAAUCAACUUCCUAAUUUGUUAGCUGCCAGGACACUCCUUAUUUCGGGGAUCAUUCUCAAAGAAAAGGAAAGUUGAAGGAAAUUGAUUUGUAAUAGAAAUCUUUUUAAGAGUUGGAUUGGUAUUAAGAAACCAAUCAAUUAGGUAAUUGAGAAAAGAUUCUGCAGACAUCAAUUCAUCAUCUCUUUGGCUAUAGAAAAAAAAACGAUAGUUACUCUUGUCUUUUACUUUUUCUUUUUAGCCGACUUUUGGGAGGAAAAAUGAUGGAAAAGCUUGGAACAAUUAUUUGCAUGGCUUGUUCUCCAUUAAUGGAAAACUAAUUUUAUACUUCUAGUCAAGGGAACAACUGAAGAUUUGGUUCAACAAUCACUGUGAGAUCUAAAUUAUUUUAACUAUUUCCUCCAUUUAUUGGUAUUCGUAUGUUUUAUGUUUUUAAUUGUUGUUAUAGUUAUCGUGUAUGAUUGAAUAGAUGCGCAAUAUUUAAUUAUUCACGUAGGCUAUUUUCUAAUGGGAGGUAGUUAAAUCCGUAAUUGUUCGAUUACUUUCAUCUCGGUAGCAACUGGCAUAAUUGGGUUUAGGUCAGGAAAUCAUACAAUUUAAUUUAAACAAACCCUCGUAGCAUGUUUGUUAGUUAGGAUUGGGCCUUCCAAAUGUUAAUGCAAAUUAGAAAUUAAAUCCUAUGGUCGUACCUAGGAUUGUUUCUGAGUUGGAGAAAUAGUUAACGGUCGUACUUUGACUAUCGAAUAAGUAAGGAAAAGUUGGUUGUUUAUCGCGUGUAUGACAUCUAUAAUCAAUCUAUUAAUAAAUGUUGAAAUUAUUUGUGAAUUGAUGAUCAGUGCAUAAACCAUUUCUGAAGUGUAACCUUGGCUAGAGUUUCUCCAUUUAUUUCUGUCAUUUAAUUAUUUUUCGCAUUUGAUUUAUUUAGUUCAUUAGCAUUUAAUUCUAAAACCUCCCAUUUAUCUUGACUCGAAAGGAAACAAAUUUCUCUCCAGUCCCUGAGGAGACGACCCUACUCGCCACUGUCUACUAGUUAGUGAAUUUUGUCAGUUAAUUAAUUCUGGUAUAUCGGAUUAAGCAAACUCUUUAGGAACAUGGUGAAUCAAGUAACCCAUUACACACCUAGAGUCCCUGCUCUAGUACCUAGAAUUGAUUAUUGACUGCUUUUAGUGGUAGUUAGGUUUUAUUAUUAUUAUUGCACAGGUUCGGCACCUAUCACUUGUCUCUCCUCAACUUUUGGAAAUCUCACAUAUUCCUAGCAGACAAUAGGGACCUGUUGAUGACGAAAGGCACAACAAAAAACUUAUAUCUUUAGUCUUUGGUGAUAUUAACUAAACAAUUUCUCACCUUCAAAGGUAAUUUGCAAAAAAUCAAGUCAAGUCUUAUUUCCACAACUUCGUAAUACGAUGCAAAAAGAAAAUAUUAAACAAACAAAAAUUAGCAAUGAUAAUGAUUCUACUGCACCUUUCACAAGGAAAAAAAAAGCUGUUCUCCAAUUUUCCAUGGUUACUCUCUCUUCUAAGCUUUAAUUCACGCUCGUCAAGCCAUAUAUAUUUUAGUAUAAACUUCCAAGCUUUUAAUAAGAAACUUGUAACAUCACCAUUUUCUCAUAAUCAAUAGCACAUAAAUUUCAAAAAAGCUCUUCAACUUUGCCGGCAUUUUAUUCUUGCUUUUCUGGAUAAGAUUGACAUUAAUUCAAUAAUUGAGUUCUAGGAAUCCCUCGUACUUAUUACUCAUUUUUUGUUUAACCUUCAACUUAUCAAUUACAAAGAAUGAUGAAAAUCUUUAAAAGAAAAAUUAAACAAAAAAAAGACCAAGUCUAAUAAACAAGUCAUACUUAUUGCAAUUCUAAUGAUUAGUUUCUUUCUCCAAUGUUAAACAUAAGAAUUAGUUCUUCCUAAUAUAUAGCAAUUCAUUAAAUCAAGUUUAUCAAUUCCUAUACGUAAUUUGGUCUUUUCAUCAAUUAGCAAAUGAUUGCGUUACUCUAGUUUUUAUAAUUCUAGGAGAGAACUCUUUGAUAAUACACUCUAGUUAUGGUAACUUUGGUAUUAGAAAAAACAAUGUUCUAGUAAUAUCAUUUUUUGCUAAAAUGAAAUCUGUAUUUAAAACUUGAAACAUCUCAAAUUUAUAUAACUAAAUAAAUGUAAAAAAAUACAGGGUGUCACAUCUAGUCUUUUGCUUUUGGUCUGCAACUUUUAAUACAAUUAAAAAUUUCUUAAUUAUUGGCUUGGAUUGAGGGAUUUGAAGAAAGAUUUGAAAUCUUCUCAAACACUUCUAAAUUUUUUGGAUUACUUAGGUUGUAUAUGAUUUUGGAAUUCACUACUCAUUGAAUGCAUUUAAGCAGUAAAAUAAAUGGUGGAUUUUAAAACCAAAGGCCUCCGAAGUAAUUCAAAUGACCUAGAAGAAUUUGAGAGGAUAUCAAAUUUUCAUCAAAUCCCUCAAUCCAAAUCCAUCAUAAAACAAAUUGUUGCAACACAAAAGUUCAUUAUGGUACAAAAUUCUAUUCUCUCCCUUGAAAUUGUUUAUCCUUGAUUGAUUUGGGUUGACAUGGCGUACAAAAAUGCCAGAUAAUGGACGCAUGUAAGACUUUCAAAAGUUUAGGGGAGGUAAGUGAACUUCUUAUUGUCCCCAAUGUUAUUGAAGUUAUUCAAAUUUGGAAGCAGGCAGGACUUUAAGAUACAAAUAAUGAAGUGUCCAAAGUAAAAAAGUCUACAUUUAAAGUGUCAUAUUACAAAAUGAGACAUGAUGGUGCAACAUUAAUUUCGUACUAAUGCCGAAUUGCUAAUGCAUAUCAAAUGUAAUUCCAAUUUCCAAACCUUUCUUUCCUGAUGGAACUGCUAGCCAUUUUUUAUAUCUUUGUUUUUUUGAGGUAAUAGUUUACAGCUGAAGAGCGGCUAGAGUCAAGCUCAACUCGAGUUAUAAAAUAAUUAUUUUUAUUUUUUCGGGCUCGAACUUUAAAUUGUCAGUUCGUCGAGUUUGAACUCAAGUUCGAGUUCAAUAAAACUAAGUCAAGGCUCAACUCAAUUAGGCCAAAAUUCGACUCGACUCAACUCGUUUGCAGCCCUACUUGGGAGGAGGGGGAACAUAAAAUGUGAAAUCCUUGGAAAACCACAAGUUUAGUUUCUUUACAGUAGUUCACUUUGCAAUCACAGCUUUCCUCCUCUUAAAGCAUUUUGAUCUAGGGGCGGAUUUACGGUGGGGGCAUGGACCUCCACUACCCCCCUUAAAUUCCUAUAAUACUUAUAUAAUUUUAACAUAAUUUUAAGUGUGUCCUCAGAGUUUUUUUAGAAAAGAUGUGAAAGAAUGAGUCACAAAAUUUAGUUUAGUUACUUAUAUUGAGAAAAAUACACUUCGUGAAUGAUGGGGUAUAAUUUGUUAGUAAUUUUAUUAUUUAUUUCUCCUUUUAUCCCUGACAAAUAUUGUGUUAAUUGCAUAUAUUUACUUAUAUUUGGUAUUUAGAAUCAAUUUCAGGAGUGAAGCAGAAAAUUACCAAAUGGUCCUACUAGCAAUAGGAGACAAGAGUCAAUUCCGCAGAGCCUAUCUUUGGUAAUUCAUCUUCUCAAUUCGGUGGAGGCCCACGGAAUAGCAUUGGUCAUUUGGCUCUUAAGGAGAAAGGAACGUACAGAGAUGAAAAACAUGGAAGUAAAAUCGGCAGGCUUUCUUUUGGGUAGCUUUGACUACCAAUUGGGUGGGGACCACUGGAGAGAAAACUAGGCAUCUUUCUUUUGGCUUUAAAAGAAAAGAGACGGACAGGAGCUAUUAUGAGGAGCUCUUAGACGACCUUUUAGUUUUAGUUUUUAGCCUAGUCUUUAGUUUUUCUUUCUUUCUCCUGACUGGCCUCUGACACACGCCAGGUGUUCGACAAUAUUCCCCAAUGGGAAAAACACCUUUUAUUCCUUGCUUCUUAAUAGAAAACGCAAUGCCUUUGCAAUCUAUUAAUUCGUGUGGUGAUUUAAUUAUGCGGCGUGGCUAAGUCUUCCAUCUAGUCAAGGGUCAACUCGACGGCAUAGUCCCGAAAAUCUGUGAGAUCUAAUUAGUUUUCGCGUGUUCCUUUAUUUAUUAAUAUUUGCACGUUGUCUGCUUGAAUUUUCAUGGGAUUAUUUUAUUAAUUGGAUGUCAAGGGCCCGAUGUUCAAUGUGAUUUAUUAAUCUCGUGCCAAUUUAGUCAAUUAAAUCCGUAAUUGUUUGAUUGAUUAAUAUUAGUGGCAACUGGUGUGUUUACACAUUAGGGGAUCGUGCAAUCUAAUUUAAAUAACCCUCGUAGCGUGUUAUUGAUUAGGGCUAGAUUUUUCUAGUUAUUAAUGCAAUUGAAAAAUUAAUUCCUACGGUCGUACCUAGGAACACUUUUCUGGUUAGGGGUGAUUAAUGGUCGUACCUUGGUCAUCUAUAAAUUAAGGAAAAAUUGGUCAUUAGAGUUCCUCGAUGGCUAUAACUAGUCUAUUAAUAAAUUAAGUGAACCUCUCUUGCAUCAAUGAUCGGAUAAAUGGACUGUGUCUGAGUAGUUGCAUCCUUGGCUAGAAUUUAUUUAUUCUUGAUUUAAUUCCUGUUUUACUUGUGCUAGUUAUUUAUCCAUCUUUAGUUAAAUUAUUUAACUGUUUUUAGUUUCAUUCCGGUAAAAUCCUCCCUUACCAAUUGGACUUUAAAAGAGACAAAUAUCUCCAGUCCCUGAGGAGACGACCCUACUUGCCACUGUCUACUAUUUAGUAAUUUUUGUCAACUAAUUGAUUCUGGUAUAUCGGAUUAAACAAACUCUUUGGGAACAGGGUGAAUCAAGUAACCCAUUGCAUACCUAGAGUCCCUGCUCCAGUACCUAGGAUCAAUUAUUGACUGCUUUUAGUGGUAGCUAGGUUCUGUAUUUAUUAUUAUUAUUGCACAGGUUUGACGCCCUGUCAAUUUUUGGUGCCGUUGCCGGGGACUGGCGUUAUUAUUUGUUUCUUUAUUAAGUUCAUUUUUGCUCUAAUUUUCUGGUAUUUCUCUAGUGUAUGCCUAGGUCUUCUUGUACAGGUGAAUUGAUUUUUGACCCUGAAGUAGAGAAGACCGUACGUAGAACGAGAAAGGAAACCAGACAGCUCAGAGAGGAGCACUCCAGUGCUGCAUCUCAGAGAUCUGAGCCCGAAGUUGAACCAUCAGAUUCGUUUGGUGACACUUCAAGUGAUUCGUACCAAGAGAACGUCGCCAUGGCAAACACACAAACAUUAAGGGAGUUGGCUGCUCCAAACUUGACCCAACAACCUCUUUGCAUAACUUUUCCUCGCCUUAGUGAGAAUACAGAUUUUGAAUUAAAACCUGGUUUAAUACAUUUGUUGCCUAUUUUUCAUGGUCUGCCAGGAGAGGAACCCCACAAACACAUGCAGGAAUUUGAUGUGGUGUGUUCGAGUAUGAAGCCUUCGGGAAUAACUGAUGAACAAAUUAAAUUAAGGGCCUUCCCUUUCUCUCUAAAGGACUCGGCAAAGGACUGGUUAUGCUGUCUACCUGCAGGCAUUAUCACCACGUGGCCAGAGAUGCAGAAAAAAUUUUUUGAAAAAUAUUUCCCUGCAUCCAGAGCUGCUAGUUUGCGAAAGGAAAUAUGUGGCAUCAAGCAAUUUCACGGGGAAUCCUUGUAUGAAUAUUGGGAGAGGUUCACCAGGCUGCGUACCCGAUGCCCGCAUCACCAAAUAAGUGAUCAACUGCUCAUUCAGUAUUUCUACGAGGGACUACUGAUGAACGAUAGAAAUAUCAUUGAUGCAGUAAGUGGUGGUGCACUGGUGAAUAAGACUACCCAGGAGGCAUGGGACUUAAUCGAGCGAAUGGCAGAGAAUUGCCAGCAGUUUGGUACGAGAGCAGAUGUUCCUACGAGAAAGGUCAACGAGGUAAGUUCAUCUUCCAUUCAACAGCAGUUAUCUGAAUUAACCUCAUUUGUUCGACAGAUAGCUGUAGAAAAUGCACAGCAGGCCAAAGUGUGUGGGAUUUGUACGAAUAUUGGUCAUACCACUGACUCAUGCCCACAGUUGCAAGAGGAGGGAACUGAGCAAGCACACAUGGCUGGUAACAUGCCCAUGCCACGUAAACAGUAUGACCCCUAUUCCAACUCCUACAAUCCGGGUUGGAGGGAUCAUCCAAAUCUGAGUUAUGGGGGAAAUAAGCAACAAAAUUUCAUCCCCAAUAGACAGCAGGGCUUCCAGCAACAAUAUCAAACAAGGAAUCAACCCUUUUCUGCCUUAGGUAUAUCCCUAGAAAACAUGGUUAAAACCAUAGCUUCUAAUACUAUGAAAUUUCAACAGGACACUGAGGCCAGCAAUCAAGAGAUGAAAGCAUGUAUGCAAAACUUGAAAAAUCAGAUGAGUCAAUUAGCUUCAAUUGUCAACCGACUAGACUCCCAGGGGAAUGGAAACUUCCAUCCCAACCUGAGGUGAAUCCCAAAAAUGUAAGUGCAAUGACCCUCAGGAGUGGGAAAGAGGUUGAAGGACCAGCACCAGUGGCUCCGAAGGACAAGAAUGAGGACCGCAUUGAGAAGGAGCUUGAGGAAAAAGGAACUCCCGACACAAAUAAAGAGGUAAUACAUAACCCAGUGGUUCCAAUUAAGCCUAACCUACCACCUUUUGCUAGCAGGUUGGAAAGGCCUAAAAAGCAAGACAAGGAAAAGAAAAUUUUGGAGAUAUUUAGGAAGGUGGAGAUAAAUAUCCCCUUACUUGACGCAAUUAAGCAAGUACCCCAGUAUGCCAAAUUUUUGAAGGACCUAUGCAUCAAUAGGAAGAAAUUGAGGGGAGAUGAAAGGAUAAUUGUGGGAGAGAACGUAUCUGCAGUGCUUCAAAGAAAACUUCCACCCAAGUGCGGAGAUCCAGGUAUGUUCACUAUUCCUUGUAAAAUAGGGAACACUAGCAUUAGGAAUGCCAUGUUAGAUCUAGGAGCCUCCAUAAAUGUGAUGCCCAAGGCUAUUUAUGCUUCUCUAAAUUUGGGCCCCUUAAAGGAAACUGGCAUUAUAAUUCAAUUGGCUGAUAGAACUAAUACUUAUCCCGAUGGGGUGAUAGAAGAUGUGUUAGUGCAAGUGAACAAUUUAGUGUUCCCUGCUGAUUUUUAUAUUCUUGAUAUAGGUGAUGAACGUUCUCCAAAUCCAUCACCAAUUUUGUUGGGGAGGCCCUUCUUGAGCACAGCUCGUACAAAAAUUGAUGUUAGUGAGGGCACCCUAACGAUGGAAUUUGAUGGAGAAAUAGUUCAUUUCAGUAUAUUUGAGGCCAUGAAAUAUCCGUGUCAUUCUAAUGCUGUUUUUGCUGUGAGUGUAAUUGACCCUUUGGUGCAAGAAGUAUUUGUGAUUAAUGGCAGGGAUGAAUUAGAGAUAGCAAUCACCAAACAUUUGGAUCUGGAAGCAGCUUGCGAAAUGGAGUUAGACAUUAGUUUGCAAAGAAUGGUUGGAGCCUUGCAUUCACUAGGCCAAAGUCCUCUAAGGCAUGAUGUUGCUCCUAUAUUCGUGCUUGAACCACACCUAAAGUUAUUACCUUCUAUCGUGCAGGCACCUGAAGUGGAGUUGAAACCCCUGCCCGAACAUUUAAAGUAUGCCUAUCUAAGUGAAAAAAAGACGUUACCAGUGAUAAUCUCAUCCAAAUUAUCACCCACGGAGGAGGAUAAGCUGCUACGGGUUUUAAGGGAGCAUAAGGAAGCUAUAGGUUGGACAAUUGCGGACAUCAAGGGUAUAAGCCCGUCCGUGUGCAUGCAUCGAAUUCGCCUGGAAGAUGAUGCUAGGCCGAUAAGACAACCACAAAGGAGAUUGAACCCCAUCAUGAUGGAAGUGGUCAAGAAAGAGGUAAUCAUGCUUCUGGACGUAGGAAUUAUUUUCUCUAUCUCAGAUAGCCCAUGGGUGAAUCCGGUCCAAGUGGUGCCAAAGAAAGCAGGGGUAACUGCGGAAGAAAAUCAUGAAGGGGACCUUGUUCCAAUUCGAAAGCCUACGGGUUGGCGCCAGUGCAUCGAUUACCGUAAAUUGAACGCAGUGACCAAGAAGGAUCAUUUUCCCCUUCCAUUCAUUGAUCAAAUGGUUGAAAGGUUAGCUGGUCGUGCCUAUUAUUGUUUUUUAGAUGGUUUCUCUGGUUAUUUUCAGAUAGCAAUUGCGCCAGAGGAUCAAGAGAAAACAACUUUCACUUGCCCCUUUGGCACUUUUGCCUAUCGAAGGAUACCCUUUGGAUUGUGCAAUGCCCCCGCAACAUUCCAGAAGUGUAUGAUUACCAUUUUUUCUGAGUAUGUGGAAAGAAUAAUUGAGGUAUUCAUGGAUGACUUCAGUGUCUAUGGUGAUAGUUUUGAAGAUUGCUUAGAUAACCUAACAUUGAUUUUGAAAAGAUGCAUUGAGACUAACCUAGUGCUCAAUUGGGAAAAAUGUCACUUCAUGGUUGAGCACGGGCUAGUUCUAGGACAUGUAGUGUCAUCUAGAGGAAUUGAAGUUGAUAAAGCUAAAAUAGAUGUGAUAUCUGCUUUCGCUUACCCCGUAACUGUACGGGAAGUUCGUUCUUUUCUAGGACAUGCAGGUUUCUAUCGCAGAUUUAUCAAGGAUUUCUCAAAGAUCGGGGCACCACUUUUUAGGCUUUUGCAAAAGGAUGUCAGUUUUGAAUUCAACGAGGAGUGCAAAGAAGCGUUCGAGAAGUUGAAUAAAUUACUCACUUCUCCACCUAUCAUCCAACCUCCUGAUUGGAAUCGCCCAUUCGAAAUUAUGUGUGAUGUCAGCGACUACUCCGUGGGAGCAGUUUUGGGACAAAGGGUGGAGAAAGCGGCGCACGCAAUAUAUUAUGCCUCUAGAGCUUUAAAUGGCGUCCAACUCAAUUACUCUACUACGGAGAAAGAACUCUUAGCUGUUAUUUUUGCUUUAGAAAAGUUUAGACCUUAUUUGUUAGGUGCUAAAAUAAUUGUGUAUUCUGACCAUGCAGCUUUGAGGUACCUACUGACCAAGAAGGACGCUAAACCCCGCUUGAUAAGAUGGAUAUUGUUCCUGCAGGAAUGUGACUUGGAAAUCAGAGACAAAAAAGGAGUGGAGAAUCUAGUAGCUGACCACCUAAGUCGAAUACUGGUAGCGGAGGAAGAAUUACCAUUAGGGGAGUCUUUUCCUGAAGAGCAUUUACUUUCUAUUAAUUCAUCCCUUCCUUGGUUUGCAGAUAUUGUGAAUUAUUUGGUUACUGACAAAUUGCCCGCAGGUUGGCCCAAGGCAAAAAGGGACAAACUAAAAAGCGAUGCAAAGUACUAUGUCUGGGAUGAUCCCUAUCUGUGGAAACAAGGUGCUGACCAAAUAAUGAGGCGAUGUGUAAGUGAAGGUGAAUUCCAAUCUAUAUUGACUUUCUGUCACUCUUUUGCAUGUGGGGGUCAUUUUGGACCUAAACAGACUACUAGAAAAGUGUUGGAAAGUGGAUUUUUUUGGCCUACCUUAUUUAAGGAUGCUUACUUGUUUUGUAAGACAUGUGAUAAAUGUCAGAGGGUAGGCAAUUUAUCCCGAAGGGAUCAACUGCCGCAGGUGCCCAUGCUUUUCAUUGAAAUUUUUUAUACUUGGGGUAUAGAUUUCAUGGGUCCCUUUCCAAAUUCUUGUGGAUUUUUAUACAUUUUACUAGCAGUGGAUUAUGUCUCGAAGUAGGUGGAAGCAAAAGCCACCCGCGCUAAUGAUUUUAAGGUGGUUGCAGAUUUCAUAAAGUCUAACAUUUUUGUACGAUUUGGAAUGCCACGAGCAGUUGUGAGUGAUAGAGGGACGCAUUUUUGCAAUAAGACAAUUGCUGCUUUGUUCAGGAGAUAUGGUGUACUUCAUAAGGUUUCCACUUCCUACCAUCCACAGACCAAUGGCCAGACUGAAGUCUCGAAUAGGGAAAUAAAGUCUAUUUUGGAAAAGAUGGUCCGUCCUGAUAGGAAGGACUGGAGUUCAAGGUUGGAAGAUGCUUUGUGGGCAUACAGAACCGCUUACAAGACACCUAUAGGAAUGUCUCCCUAUGGGUUGGUAUUUGGUAAGCCUUGUCAUCUUUCAGUGGAGUUCGAGCAUAGAGCAUUUUGGGCAGUAAAACAAUGCAAUAUGGAUAUUGAGGAGGGCGGUAUUCAACGGAAGUUACAGUUACAAGAAUUGGAGGAGAUUCGUAAUGAAGCCUAUGAGAAUGCGGUGAUUUAUAAGGAAAAAAAUAAGAUUUUUCAUGACCAACAGAUCUCAAGGAAGACAUUCGAGUGUGGGCAAAAAGUUCUACUGUACCACUCCAAAUUGAAGUUAUUUCCAGGUAAAUUACGUUCUCGUUGGAUUGGCCCUUUUGUUGUGACUAAUGUCUUUCAUUAUGGUGCAGUGGAGAUCCAAAAUUUGAAAACUGAGAAGCAAUUUGUAGUGAAUGGUCACCGUCUCAAGCCAUAUUAUGAAGGUUUUCCAAUUGAGCGGGUGGAGAUGAUGCACUUGGAGGACUCGAUUAGCUUAGUUUAAGCAAAGUUUUGGACAACGUCUAGCCAAAGACGUUAAAAAAAGACGCUUUUGGGAGACAACCCAAGACUAUUUGUUUCAGUUUUCAUGCAUUUUUUAAGUUUUAGUUAAGUGUUAGUGUCAAUUAAUAGUUUGAUGUUUGGUGGCAGGAAAUUAGUAGUUAGACGUGCCCACGCCAGGUGGUCACGCCUGAGGGAAAGAAAUUUUCGUUCAAGAUCUGCGGACUCUAUAGCAGUUAGACGUGCCCACGCUAGGUGGUCACUCUAACGGAUCGAGAAUUUUCGCCGGAUGGUCAAAAGACGAGGGAGCGGUUAGGCAUGCCCGCGCCUAAGACUGGGUUUCUUUGUAAAAAAAAUAUAUAUAUAUAUAUAUAGAAAUAUAUUAAAAAAAUGAAAAAAAGACACGGAACCCUACUCUUUUCUUCUUCUUCUUUCUUUCUUCUUUCUUCUUUUCUUCCUUUUCUUCUUUCCCUUCUUUUGCUUGGUCCGCCGCCGUUCCACACCGCGCCGCACGCCACCAUUCCUCGCUGAUCGCCCCCCGCCGCUCGAUCUCCACCAUCUCGCGCGACCCCCCUCGCAAGCAGCACUCGCACCAGCCACAACAGCCAUCCGCAGGCUGCCGUGAGCCUGCACCCUAGCGCCAAGCCUCGCGCGAGCGCAGCUCGUAAUCCCCGCGCCAGCAGCUCGCCUCUUGCGCGCCUAGCAGGUAGGCGCAUAGCACGCCGCGCGCCACAUGAUCCGCAGCCACGACCUGCUGCACCUGCCGCGCCCAGCCUCAGACGAGCCUCCUCGCGCAACAAGAGUGGCAGAGCAGCAACUCAGCCUCCGCGUGCUUGCCAGAGUGCGUGCGACACACGCGCGUACUAGGUCCUACCCUACUCUGCAUUUCACCCACGGCCAGUCAAACACUCCGGUGAUUUCUUUCUUUAUUUUUAUGUCACUAAUUAGCUGAGGCCAGAUUAUUACUUCUUUAUUAGUUGAUGUUUCGUAGCUGAGGUCAGAUUUUUGAUUUGCUAGCUGAGGACAGAUAUUUUGUGCUUGUUUGGGUGUUGUGAUAUAUCUGUGGUGGAUUGUUAAUUGUUUGAUAAAUUUUGUGCUCAACCAGUGAUAUUGGGAGAAAAAUUUUGCUAUAGUUGCCUGUUUAUUUAGUUUUGGGGGGGGUUUUUGCUCUGUUUAUUUGAUUAAUUAUUUUUUGGGUCAAUUUGGUAGUAUUCUGAGAAAAUUUUGUUGCUCACAGUGCUAAUUAGCUUUUGGGGUAAUUUUAUUGUUUGGUUGUGCACUUGUCUGUGAUUGGAAGCUGUGAUUGGGACCCUUUACUGAAUCAGCUGCCUGUUGACCUCUUUUGUGCACAUUUGCCUUGCCUCUGUCCUAUCCAUUAGACCAAAUGACCAAACCAAAAACUAAAGGCAAGAACAAGCCAUCCACCUCCACCCCUCAGCCUACGGUCCCCUUAGGCGGACCUGCCCCCUCGACUGAGCCGGGAGGGCCCCGUACCCGCCUUGGACGGAAUAGCGAGGUUCAUAUCUCCUCUCCGGCCCACUUCGAUGGAAAUUUGACCUUUACCCGGGCUGCCGACAAGGAGCGGUAUGCCUCGACUUGCACAAGGAAGAUAAUUCCUUGUAAAUACAUCCAUGGCCCUACACUUGAUAUGCUCAACCUGAGGGAUGAGGUCACGCAGCACUUGACUAACGUAGGCUGGACCCGCUAUGCUUCUAUCAAUCUACCUGCUUUUACUGAACUCACGUGGGAAUUCUAUGCUACUUUUGAAUUUAAUAUUCCUGAUGAAUUCUCCGUUACCGCUUCGGGGGUAGUGAGGUUUCGAUUGAUGGGUAGAGAGUUCAACCAAUCUAUCACCGAGUUUAAUUUGGCUCUUGGGUUUAUUGAUAUUCCCUACUCCCAGAGUGAGGAGUAUAUGCACAGUGUGUGCGAGUACUCUGAGCCAUUUUUCUCUCAUUACAUUGGUUAUUGGAGAGAUUUGUCGGUUGACCGACACACCUAUGACCCCAGUUAGUCUAAGGUUUCUUAUCUUAAGAGCGCCGCCUACCGUUAUUUACAUAGAUUCAUGGCCUAUAGUUUCUCAGGUAGGAAGGAUAGCUCGGGUACUCUGACCAAACCCGAGUUCUUUUUUCGUUUGGUGCAUGGUCACUCGGACUAGGGUCAAUUUGGAUAGCUGGUUUGCCCUCCACCUCCGAACUGUGCUAAGUAAGAAAAAUAAGCCAUUAAUUUUAGGCUCAUUUAUCACUCAGUUGGCUGUAAAUCUUGGGGUUUUGGACUUAAAUAAUCAUAACUUGCAUCGUGCUUGUACUAUGGAACCCCUCGAUUUGGUUUGUUUGGAAAAAAUGGAUCUUGUGAGACAGGUGGCGGGCGUUUUUCAGUUUGCUCCCCCGGGGCCAAUCUCCGUUCCUCCAAAGCGCAGAGCUUCCAAAACCACUGACCCGGAGGCUGGUGGUCCUUCUACGGAUGCCCCCGGACCAUCCUCUUCGGCACCUCCACCAUCUUCCUCCGUCGAUAGCUAGCUUGCAGCUCCUCAGUUCCAGAUGCAGCACAUGAACACUCGUAUGGAUCGGAUGGAGCGUCAAAUGGGCGGGAUGACCCAGAAUUUAGCGCAAUAUCUCCAUCACGUGGGCUUCCGCCCGCCUUUCCCUCCACAACCGUGAUUCAUUUCUGCCCUCCUCCGUUUAAGGGAAGUGUCGUUGCCCCAGUACCUCUGUUGUGAUCUUCCUUUGCUUACAUUGAGGGCAAUGUAAGGUUUAGGUGUGGGAGAGGGUUGACUAUGCUUUGGUUGUGUUUUUAGUUGUCUGAUUAAAUUUUUCCUUGCCUUAGUAGUUCCUUUCUUUAAACGAUGAUGAAUGCAAAUUGAGAUAUGAGCGUACAUAGUAAGUUCAUGCCAUGGGGUGUUCUACUUUCCUUGAUACUGAAUUGAUUGAUUAAUAUGCUGAACUUGACAUAAAUUUGACCACUUGUGCGAUUUUUGGGCCUAAUUUUUCAUUUGUUUGAGUGGUUAUUGCACAUGGUUUGUCAUUCUAGAACUUGCUCGGUUAUGCAUGUCAAGGCUGCAUUUAUAUGAGUUUAAUGCGUUGAAAUGAUAGGGCACCUAGGAAUGAGUCAUUUUUGGACUUUCUUAAAACCGACCCUUGGAUUGUUUACUACCAUUAGGGAGCCAAGUUGAGCCUUAACUCCUAUUCUUUGCUUGAGACCCCAGCUUCUAGCCGUGAAACCUCUUUUUAGACUUUCUUUCUGAAUCUCGUGUGAAGAAGUGCUUUGAUUUCAUUAUACAGAAUUUUGGAAUAAUAUCUGAGAGGCAUUGCAAUCUAUUAAAAAAAACCCACAAAAAGAGAAAAAAAAAGAGGUGGAAAGAAGGCAAAAUGCAAGAAAGCAACGAGUAAAGUUGAUUCUUAUGGUGCUGGUUGGGAGUUGUUGAAAAAAAAAAGAAAAGAAAAAAAGAAAAAAUAUAUAGAAAAAAAGAGGAGAAAGGAAAAGUCGAAGGUCGUGGCAAGUGCCAAUUUACUCUACUCGUGUGAUGGUUGAGAUGCCUUGAAGUUCCCAAUGUGCAAGAAUCUGUGUAGUGAAUUACUGAGCACUUUCUUUAUAUCUUUACACCCUUUUGAUUCCUUUUUAUCCUACCUUCUCACCCUAGCCCCAUUACAACCUUGCAAAAUCCCUUGAUUGUUGCAUUUAAAUUCAUAAGUAAGUGGUGGAGAUAUGAUAUAUGAGCAAGCUUAUGGUAGUGUCAUUCUAUUGUGUUGAUUUGAGAGCCAUCUUAUAUAUAUAUAUAUCCUAUACACUUCGAAGUGAAUGAGUGCACUUUGAACUGUGAGCAUUGUUGAUUUGGUAUAUUUUGAUUUCGAUGAAGUUAUUGGGGAAUUUGGAGUGCCGUUUUUUGUAUGAACUGCUGUAAAUUGCUUCGUAUCUUGAUUGUACUUCUGAGUUAAUUUUAUUAUUUAUUUUCUUUUUUAUCCCUGACAAAUAUUGUGUUAAUUGCACAUAUUUACUUAUAUUUGGUAUUUGGAAUCAAUUUCAGGAGUGAAGCAGAAAAUUACCAAAUGGUCCUACUAGCAAUAGGAGACAAGAGUCAAUUCCGCAGAGCCUAUCUUUGGUAAUUCAUCUUCUCAAUUCGGUGGAGGCCCACGGAAUAGCAUUGGUCAUUUGGCUCUUAAGGAGAAAGGAACGUACAGAGAUGAAAAACAUGGAAGUAAAAUCGGCAGGCUUUCUUUUGGGUAGCUUUGACUACCAAUUGGGUGGGGACCACUGGAGAGAAGACUAGGCAUCUUUCUUUUGGCUUUAAAAAGAAAAGAGACGGACAGGAGCUAUUAUGAGGAGCUCUUAGACGACCUUUUAGUUUUAGUUUUUAGCCUAGUCUUUAGUUUUUCUUUCUUUCUCCUGACUGGCCUCUGACACACGCCAGAUGUUUGACAAUAUUCCCCAACGGGAAAAACACCUUUUAUUCCUUGCUUCUUAAUAGAAAACGCAAUGCCUUUGCAAUCUAUUAAUUCGUGUGGUGAUUUAAUUAUGCGGCGUGGCUAAGUCUUCCAUCUAGUCAAGGGUCAACUCGACAGCACAGUCCCGAAAAUAUGUGAGAUCUAAUUAGUUUUCGCGUGUUCCUUUAUUUAUUAAUAUUUGCACGUUGUCUGCUUGAAUUUUCAUGGGAUUAUUUUAUUAAUUGGAUGUCAAGGGCCCGAUGUUCAAUGUGAUUUAUUAAUCUCGUGCCAAUUUAGUCAAUUAAAUCCGUAAUUAUUUGAUUGAUUAAUAUUAGUGGCAACUGGUGUGUCUACACAUUAGGGGAACGUGCAAUCUAAUUUAAAUAACCCUCGUAGCGUGUUAUUGAUUAGGGCUAGGUUUUUCUAAUUAUUAAUGCAAUUGGAAAAUUAAUUCCUACGGUCGUACCUAGGAACACUUUUCUGGUUAGGGGUGAUUAAUGGUCAUACCUUGGUCAUCUAUAAAUUAAGGAAAAAUUGGUCAUUAGAGUUCCUCGAUGGCUAUAACUAGUCUAUUAAUAAAUUAAGUGAACCUCUCUUGCAUCAAUGAUCGGAUAAAUGGAUUGUGUCUGAGUAGUUGCAUCCUUGGCUAGAAUUUAUUUAUUCUUGAUUUAAUUCCUGUUUUGCUUGUGCUAGUUAUUUAUCCAUCUUUAGUUAAAUUAUUUAAUUGUUUUUAGUUUCAUUCCGGUAAAAUCCCCCCUUACCAAUUGGAAUUUAAAAGAGACAAAUAUCUCCAGUCCCUAAGGAGACGACCCUACUUUCCACUGUCUACUAUUUAGUAAUUUUUGUCAACUAAUUGAUUCUGGUAUAUCGGAUUAAGCAAACUCUUCGGGAACAGGGUGAAUCAAGUAACCCAUUGCACACCUAGAGUCCCUGCUCCAGUACCUAGGAUCAAUUAUUGACUGCUUUUAGUGGUAGUUAGGUUCUGUAUUUAUUAUUAUUAUUGCACAAGUUUGACGCCCUGUCAGUGAAAUUCAAAAUGAGAAAGUUAUAAACCAUUAUCAAAAUAUGAAAAUUCGUAAUUGUAAAUAGUUUAGUUUGUUUUUGAAAUAAAAUUAUUAUUACAUUAAUAAUUUUGAGUUUGUCUUUUUAUGUUUUUCAUGGAAUAUACGUAUUAUUUGUACUUGUUGGUGAAUUUAUUUAUUUAUUUUUGCUUAAAAUACUAGAAAAAGAGUAGAUAAAAAAUUUUAGUGUUAUUUUGCCCGCACUAAGAUUUUUUUUCUGGCUGCGCCACUGCUUUGAUCUUCACCCUGUUCUCAGGGAUUUCCGAUACUAAUUCCAUUGAUGGCUUCAAAAAUCAUUCUUUAGAAUAUACAUCAAUAACGCUUUAAAAUAAGUGUUUGUAAUUAUCAUGCGUUAAAGUAAUACUUGUCAUAUAUCAUCUCAAUUCUGAAAUCUUCUCCAAUGCUGCUAAUACAACGUUGAUAUGAUCCUUCAAACCAGCAUAUGUGCUAGUUAGACAUUUUUCGUGACUUUCUAUAAAUCAGUCUAACUAAUACUGAAAUUUUAACUGCUUCUCUCAUUUUUGAGUAAAGAACCAUAAACUUUAACUGUUUGAUAUAUUAAAAUCUCUGUGACUUGCAUAGAACACUUGUUAUGCAGUAAAUACUAAGCAGAGACAGAAUUAGGAAAAGAAUUUAAAAGCAUUAUACCGGUCCAAGUAAGUUGCACAAACGUUAAAUGUCAAACACAGCAGUUUUAUAUGUUGCAUGAAGGUUGUUAUAUUGAGUCCCUGUUUCAUUUGAAACAGACACUUUGAAAUAGCUGCAUAUAUCAGCCGAAAGAAACAAUCUGAAAACCUGUCAAAAUGUUGUUUUUAUGUUCAUCUUUCUUGUUUUGCAGUAAGUACAAACUUUUCAUUCUUCAACUUAGCAAUAUUUUUGGAAGUCCAACAAAAGUAAUUUUCCCUAAACAUUUUUCUUUGCUGUUUACUCUUUUCUUUUCCAGCUUUAGUGAAUAACUGUCCCAAGCUAAUGAAAAUUAACUUUCCGUCCUCUAGAGAGAUUAAUUACAAACAAAUUAAAAAUCUCAGGAAAAGGGCACAAGAUUCUUGAUUAACUGCAUAUUCUCUGUCCUCGGACACUUGCAGCUGCUGGACAAACUAGGGGACGACAAAGUGGUAGAUGCUCCAAGCUAACUAAAAAGAAACCCAUGAGGGCCAAAAGCAGGGUCUGUUUCUUAAUCUAAUUACUAUGAGCUUGGUGAUUCACCAUUUUCUUUUACACAUUGAAAUUAAAAUCAUGAAAAGCUUAAUAAAUAUCACAUUGAAUAUUUAUAUGUUUUUCAUUGUUUGUCAUUCUAAAUAAUUCCUGUUAAUGUUCAAAUAUCAACUGAUAUUUUCUGAUGAAAUAUUUUUAACUAACACGAAUUCUUAUGAAAACUAAAACAUUUAUUUAAUAAAAGUAAUUUAUCUCAUUUCAAUUAUUACAACUAAAUUUAUGUCAUUAUCUUUUACACACUACAAUGCUCUUCAAUAAACUUCAGAGCAACUUGUGAGUUAGAAACUUAUUUCAUCAUAUAACCGAGGACAUGAAUGUCUUUUAGACCUUUCAUACAUAUAAAUGCCAACUCAUAUGUUUGACCAUUUUGUUUGUGGGGGGUAAUUUGUGAGUUUUCAAAUUAUAGAUAUAAUCUGCUACUCACUUCUUAUUAUAGGGGCAACUUGUAAUUAAGCCAAAUAUUGCAAUUAAAUGUUGUUAGAAUGGAUAGCCCUCAGAGCGAUAAUCUUCUUGCCAGAGCAAUUAAAUUUGUACUUACUCUCAAAUAUUUAAUUUUUGUUAAAUACAAAAUCUACCAGUUUUCCUUCCGUAAAAAUAUUAAUUAAUGUAACACUUUUUCAAUUUUAGUACAAAUAUUUAUGUAUUUAACAUAAAUUAAAUGAUUCAAAAUAAAAUGCCCAUAAAGAGCCAAUACUUUACUCAUGUAAUGGAUGAAAGCCAUAAAAAAUUAAUACUUUAUGGGCCAUUUCUUUUUUUAGAAAUGUUUAAUUUAUAUUAACUAGAUAACCUAGCGAUUUCCUUUUUGUAAGAAUAUUACUGUAACACUUUUUGAAUUUUACUUACAAACAUUGAUAUAUUUAUCAUAAAUUAAAUGUUUGAGAGUAAAAUGCCCAUAAAGAACCGAUACUUUAAAUAGGUAAUGCGUAUUUGUCCAUAAACUACACCCCUUAAAGUUUAUUAAUUGUUAAUUGAUUUAUAGUACUGUGUCAUUCAUUUGCUAAUACUACUUGACAUGUAGCACAAAGAGCAAAUCUAGCACAAACUUCUCAUUUCACUCCCUAAAACAAUAUUUUAAUCGUUUGAACUGAAUUUGCAAAGAAUUAGUAAGGUUAGGGGAGGUCAAUGCAAUUUUUCAAAUCACAAGGGAGGUCAGUGCAAGUGUCAGAAUCCUCAAGAGAGGUUUCUGCAAUUUUCCCUACAUUAAAAUGAUUGAAUUGAUGGUUCAGAUGUUUGAACUGAUAAAGUCAAAACCAAUCACUCAUUUUGUUCAUCACUAGUCUGCGUUUCAAAAUAUUUUUAACUGUUAAAGUUGUUCAAAAUGUGGAAUACUUUAAAAAAAAAAAAUCCUCCCUGAAUUUCUAGUAAUAUCAUUUAGCGCCCCUAUAGUUCUAAAAGUAUCACUUACCUUCCCCACAAGUGAAAUGCGACAAAAAUUCACGAAUACAAUAAUCUUGUUUCAUCUUCUCCACAAAACCCUUAAUGGACUUUUUCUCAAUUCCCUGCAGCAUUAAAUUAACUCCAGCAAGGACUAAAAAUAGCCUCCAUCUUGAGUUGUCAUCUGGAAAAUUGAUGAAAGAGUUUUUGGCAACUUCAACAUACAAUAAUAAAGCAAAAAUAAAUAUGACAUACAAGAAUCUUGUUGUUUGGCCAAUUGACCUAUGCCACAAGUGAAAGAGCGGCAAGUUGACUGUAAAGGAGAGAGUACAAAAUCAUAAGUUUUAAAGUACUAAAUACUAAAAAUACAAAAAAAAAAAAGUUUAGAUAUAGCAAAAGGCCCAACAACCUAAAAGAGGUCCAAAUAAGCUUCUCUAGCUCUUUCGGUUGGCAGUUCUCAAAAAUCUGUCUCUUAAAUUGGGCCUCCCGAAUCUCUCUUGAUAUACUAACGGUCCAAGCGUGCUAUUAGUCUCUUUUCACAAGAAAGUCCAACAAAGAGUUUGGCACUACCUUUUCUUACCUUUUCUAUCUUAUCAGGUCUUCCAUUUGCAACGAGUUCUCUUUAUUACACCCCAUGACCAAAUGGGUGAGAAUCCUAAGUUUGACAAAUUUUUAUCAGAAGUGGUCAUAACGUUAGCAACACCAGGAUGAUCUAUACUUUUCUUUGUUCCUUUGAUAAAGUAACAUCCAUUGUCUUGGCGGUAAGCGUAGAUAUCCUACAUUUAUAUCAACAGGAAAAAUAUAAAACAAAAAAAAAAAUUAACCAAACCAAUUGACUAAUAAUUUUAUAAAUACAUAUAAAUUGUUUGCUCUAUAUUUUCUUAGCUUUCUUGUUUUUAUUAGUGCUAAUUCUCAGUUAGAGGCUAGAUACUUAUAUAAGCAUUAUGCAUACUUAGAGGUGUGGCAAAAGAAAAACUUCUAUCACGGUUGAAACUCCUUUAGAUUUUCACAUAGAAUGAGCCAAAUUUAAUGAACAUCAUAACACAGCAAAUUUGGCAAUUUAAAUACAUAUUUUUUAAUUUGACAAACUAAUAAAAACCCAUGAAAUGGCAAACUUAAGUGCCACCUAUUGAUUUUGAAAGGAACCUGUUAGCUAAAAUUGAUUUUUUUUUCCUGUAUUCCUUGUGCUUUUUCUUAAACAGAUAUUAGCUCCUUAUUUAGUUGAUUUGAAAUAGUGUUUGUUAUUCUUCUGAAGAGUUGGUUUCAACUUGCAACGCUUUGCUUUUAUUUCUUAUUAAGUCAAUAAACAAUUAAACACGUGCAUAUUAACCUCCAUAUAUCAUUUAGGAAUCCUUGCCUCAAAAUUGCAUGUAGAAAUUUGUGUCAACAACAUUCUAUUACCAAGGUUAAUAUUUUCUCUAAGUUUAGUUCUGCAAAGUCUAUGCAAUUAGCAAGUUGAGCUCUUCCUAAUGCAAAGCUAUUUCUUGGUUAAUUUACAUUAUGAUUCAAAUUAGACAAUUAGUUUGAAAACUUGAAAGCCAUAAGCCAGCAAUUGUUUAAGAACAAUAUUGAAAUCUAAUUACUGAUGUGACUGCAAAAAGUGCCCAAUUUGGUACACGCAUUUGGUCAUAAAAAAAAGCGGCCAAAUUGGUACAUGCAUGGCCCACCAAUAAUGCAUCAGAUUGGGAGGUAUCUUUCUUUGGCGCUACACUGAAGUUGCUGGCAAAGUUCUGAAGCACCAUAUCUUCUGUGAACAAGAUAGUGUCUUGCAAUAUUUACACAAAAAGUGGGAAAAAAAAAGUCCAGCCUAUUGUUUGUUGGCUAUUGUUAGAUGAGAAAGUUUUGGAUCCUGAACUGAUUUUAUUGAGCAGCUGCUAAACCAGAUAAAAAUCUAAUAUCAGAGUGAAAAGAAGAUAUGAUAAUGGAGAUCCCCUCCAGCAGUAACGCCAAUUGCUUUGAUUAUCUGCAGUCGCAUCACGCCUCCUCCAGCACUAGCACUAGUUGCUUUGAUCUUGCUUUAGAUUUUCUAGCCGAGCGCCGGGUCUUCAAGGACGUGGAGAAGAGGGUAAGAUUAAUGAAAACCUGUUUUCUGUAUGUCAAAAAGUGUAGGAGGAGGAGGAACCACGAAGCGCUUUUGGAGCAUGAUCGCGAGGACAGGUGUAAUAUUAUGUCUGAACUUCAAGAUGUGGCUAUCAGGAUGAUUCAAGAACUUCAGCCUAUUUAUUUUGAAUUUAUUUGUACUGAUUAUCUCUUAGAUUUUGACAUCAUUGAAAGGACGGCUACCAGAUCCAAGGAAAAGAUGAAAAUGCUUCUUGAGACAGAUCUCAAGAAAUCAUGCGCCGCCAUCUUCAUCGACUAUUACUCACCAGGAGAUCCACGACUAGUUAUGGAUCUUAUUAUGUGCCUUAUAGAGAAUCUGAAUUGCGUUUUACGUGCUGGGGAGCUAAGAGAUACACUUAGAAAUAGGCUAAAACUCUUAAGGAAUCUCAUUGGCUUUGUGACAAUGCAAGGUCUUGAAUGUUCGCAACUGACAGAUCUCUUGACUUACACUGUAGUUGCAGCUGGAAGCCUGAUUUCUAUAUGUCUGUCUGACUAUGAUGAUGAACAAGCAGUCAAUCGAAUGGAAUCUGAAAUUUAUCAGCUGAUACACGAGAAGAUCAAUCUUCAUGAUCUCCAAGUUCGAGAAACUUUUGUCCAUGUCCUGACAGCUUCAAAGAAACAACCGAGAUCAUCAUAUGAUUUAGCCCUUCAGAAGAAUGACGAUCCAGUGGUAGGCCAGUUUAUUGGUUCUCUCUGCUAUUAUCUUAUAGAUCUACUAGGAUCUUAUGCCAGUUUUCAGGUUCCAGUGAAGGAUCAAAUACUGAAACUCCAUGAGGGAUUAAGAUACCUGGAUAUCCUUCUUAAACAGGAGGAGAAACUAGGUGAUGAAAUAAAGGAUCUUAUUGGAGUUGCGGUCUCUGAUGUAGGAAUUUUGACCUUCUCCCUUUCUGUCAAUGAAAUCAAAGAAGGCUUGCCUGAGGAAACAGAUCUUGGGGUGUUUCAUUUGCACAAAGUUCUCAAAUAUAU